AAAAAAAAGAGUAUGCAUCGGCACCGCACAGUGCCGCGGCACAUGGGCGCAUGCCGCACGAGAGCAGCACGCGCCCAUGUGCCGUGCCACUCGGGGGGGUUCGAGACCCCCCCCUGUACCGUUCCACCUUCUUGGGGGCAUGGUACGGCACACCCCCGUGCCGUACGGCAUGGGCGGCACUUCCAACCUUGCUUAAAAUCUUGUUCUAGAGGCUAAGUAAAGUUGAAGUGAUACCUUUGUAAGCAGACGGAAAAGAGAAAAGAAUUGUGGAGAAACAUGGGAGAAUUUACAAACCUUUUACACUCUAAAACUUGGGGAAAGGAGAUAGAAGAAGAAAGAGAGAGAGGCAAAAUGAUAUAAUACAUGGCUCAAAACUCAAAGAAGCCGCAUCAGUUUUCCAAUUGAUUUAUUAAUUGUGAGGAGGUUGGGGAGAUUAAUCAAAAUCAGCAUACCGAUUAGAUAAUUAGUCUCAGACACUCACCUAACUGUACUACAAUAAAUGUGUCCAUUUGGCAUGUGUCCUUCUGAUCUCACAUUCCUAAAAAGCUGUUACUUGCAAUGCAAAGUUUGAGAUAAGCAUGCUAUUUUUAAAAUUUUGAAUAGAGUUCAAUAAGUUUUCAAUCAAAAAGUAUCUAACCCAGAUGUUACUAUUAUUAUGCAUAAAAUCAUAUGUGACAAACACUAUUUAUUUACUUUUGAUAAGGACGCCGUGUCUCUAGUAAUGUAAUCCAACAAAGGAAAAAAGUAAAAUCUACUUCGCAAGUUCACUGUGCUAUGAGAUUUUCUACUUUGCAAGUAAAUAAAUUUAGAACAUUUCAAAUUAAUCACCAGGGACAAAUAUCUUUGCUGCCUCCUUCAGUGAGCCUAAAUCUGUGAUAUCUUUGGCCUGCAAUGAGAUGAGAAUAUUCAAAACUUUAUUUCCAGAUUAAUAAAAUGUGUUACAAUAAAUGACAUUCUCGGUUUUCAUUAAGCAAGAGGAAAUAUUCUACACGAGUAGACUCAAUUCAACAUUAAGUUAUAAAGUGAAAUCAUGUUCCAUGCAAAGUAGAACUGAAAAAUCCAAGUUAAAUAAUAAAACAUAUCAAUAGAUGUUAUUGACAGCAAAGAAACUUCAAAGAAGGCAUGGAAUCAGUUGGUGCUAAUGCAAAAAUAUGUCUGUAGGAAAAGACUAAUUUUAUACUUUUACUCGAUAAAGGGGAUUGUUACUUUGUAGCUACACCCAAUGCGCAAGCGAGUUCCUUUAACUUCAAACUCGCCCUUCAAGUCAUUCCUUACCUAAACUAAGAAGCCCAAUUCACAUAUAGUAUGCGGGUACUUUAAUAGGUCUCUGGAAAACCAGAGCUCGUGCACUUGGCCAAACAUUGAAGAUAUUUAGUUUGCAAAUUCACAAGCUCUUGACCAAAUUGGAGAUUUUUAGUUUUUCAAAUAUAUACUUCGGCCUAGAAAUUCCUAAGAACCAAGCAUGCCCUAAACUCUUAAAACCAGCCGUGGAGAUGAUUAAACUGGCUACAUAGAAACUAUUCUUGUUAUUAGAUAUUUACGGCCUCCAUUAUCCUUGAUCUUAUUCUUCGAAACAGAUAGCGUUAAAAAUUGCUCAUAUGUCUGUUGUUUGUUUCAUCCUUCUCUCGUAUAGAUCGUCUAUAGAAUAAGCACAGAAGAUGAUUUUUUAUCAUGGGUUCCAUUCAGUUCGGUAUAUAAGUAAUGUACUAUUUCUACAAAAAAAAUGCGUUGCCAUUUAUAAACUCUUAUUAAUCCCCGUAAUUUUGUCCAUGUAGUAGGCUUACCUUAACUAUUGGCUGUGGGGCCUAUCUCCAAGAGUUUAUUACUUUUCUCCUUCCCUUGAACCUACUCUCUUCUUUGUUGAUUGAAAAUGGAACCCGCAGUGUAGAAGAGACCUUUCAAAUAUCAUGUCAUUCUCCCUUCCGUAUGCUCCAUAGAAGAGACCUUUUAGAGACUUUGGCAUUCCCCCUUCUGUCUGUUCGAUCUCUGUUGCCCUUUUGCACCUCUCUCCCUCGGUCGUAGUUUUGCGCUCUCUCUCUCUCUUUACGGUGCUCCUUUCCUAAACUCCUUAAAACCUAAAUUGAAAUCUCACUCCUCUUUUACCCAAACCCCUUACAAGCUCCAUCCAAUGAUGAGCACGCCUUCUUUGGCGCGAUCCAAGCCGGGAGCACAAAAGCCGUUUACUCCAAUGAUGAGCAGGCCUUCUUCGACACGAUCCAAGCCGAGGGCGCCAAAGCCGUCCGCUCCUUCCUCCGCACCAAAUCCCGAUCUCCUUCACCACACCACCAUCCACAACCGCCUCUUCACACUCGGCAUCGUCGCUGCAAACGGUUGUGUUGAGAUCGGCUUCACUUAAUCACUUCCUUCUCUCUUCAUGAUGAUAUUUUUUAGCGGGCUCAUAAGAUCUUCAAGGUUUCUAUAAGCUCUAUCAACGGUUUUGGAUAGAUCACUUCAUCUUGAUGUGGUAAAUCAGUAUAAUAGGUAAGAAAAUCAUUUGUGUGGUUUCUUUCUUUUCAUUAUGAGGACUCCUUUGAUGCUCACAACAAUGCAUGCUGAGACUGAUUGUGUCGAAAGCUCCUCGAAUCAAGGGCAAAUGUGACCAAAGUUCUAACCUUUAUUCCAUUCUUGCUCUUCUAAAGUUUGAUAUGGUCUUUUUUUUCUUGGAAUAUUCAAUUAUGUGUAUCUAAUAUUUUAGCAGAAGCACUAACACCUACAAUCGCACCACCCCAUUCCCUUGGAAACUAUUAAUCUGAGAAAAAAAAAACAUUGGCCCCCUAAACUAUACUCCGCUUGAAAUUUUCUUCACUUUUGUUAUUCUUAAAUUGAGCAUUUCUCACCACACAAAUUGAAAGAAUUGCAAAAUUUACCUGAUCCAACUUGCUCUAUAUUUUAUAAAAUGAACUAUUCUCAAUCAUGUUUGCAAUUUUUAAUUCAAUCAUCCAAUUUCUAAUCAUGCCCAAUUGUAUGUACAACAUCAUCUCACUUUUUCCUUGGCUUGCUACUGAAAUUGUCAGCUUCAUUGCAUCAUUUGGCAACUGUACCUCUGUUUACGGUACUCCCUGCCUACCUUUGUAAGUUUUGGCACAUUAUUAUUUGUAUAGCAUCAAAGUAGCAUAGCAUUUUUCAAAAUACUAGAGUACAAAUGUAGUUGUGUUUGGACAAUGAUUCAUAAUCAAAGCCUUACAUAGAUUGAUUCGAAAAAUUCACCUUUUAUUGCCAAUUUCACCUAUCACGUUAUACAUUUCAUUAAAUCGGGAGAAAAUGUGGGUAGUAAAGAAAAGACAAGCAAUAAAAAUAAAAAGGACAAGGCAUAAUGUGGGUCACAUAGGCAAAUUGGUUAUAUAUAAGGCUUUUCCUCCUCCUAUCAGUCUUUUUGAGUCGAGUUCCUUCUUGAGUGAGAUUAUUUAGGCUUAAGCUAGCUUCAAAACAAACAAGCUGAGCCUAAACUUGAUCUUUCAAGUUUAAUAGAUAAGAGAUUAAAUUGGCACUCAGAGUUUUUGAGUGAGAAUCAAACAAGAUAGAUUGCUUAUUAUUGAAUAAUUAAUUGCAAAAGUUUAGUCGGCAAGAUUUUAACUGAUAUGUUUUUUCAACUUCCAUAUAUUGUUCCAUCUCAUCCUUAUUUAUGGAUUUAGUGUUCAUCUCGAUAUGUUAUUUAAUACUUAAAGUGAUAAUAAUGAUCGUAAUAUUCGUUACCUAUAUGUUUGAUCUAUUCUUUAUUUGGAAUUAGACAAGGAGUUGGGAUUUCCUUGUUUUCCAAGUUAAUUUUUACAUUAUUUAUUUCUUUAUAGGAAUAAGGUUAAAGGGACACUGAUAGGUGUUACUGUGAAUCAGGUAUAUGUACGGACCGUAUCCACCGUGUUGUAUCGUACCAACAAGAUAUUGGCAUGAUACAAUCCCCGUGCCAAUGUUGCAGCUCAAAACCCUCUAUUUUUUAAAUUAGUAAGUAAUUUUCUCAAUAAAUUCAAAAGAUUUAAUAAAGAUAAAUAAUAAGCAAUUAGAAUAUUUUGUGGCUAAAGAAAAUAAAAAUUAUAUGCCAUCAUGUGUUGGAACACGUCUUCUUGUGACCAGCACGCAUUGGCACGGUUCGGCACGCACCGUGCCAUACUGUGCUGGCAAGUUUUCGACACAACCCCAUGCCACGGUAUUUAAAUCCUUGUCUAUUACAAACUUUUGUUUGUUGUGAAGCAAGUGAUGGAAUAGCUUUCAUGGUUGGACAUGGGGCUUGCUGCAAUUUGAGGACUUCCAACAACGUCUACAUGUUAAGAAGAUGAUUCUGAACAGGCGAGAUGUUAAUGAAAAAUAUUCUGGAGGUAACUACUAUACGCUGAUGGUAGAUUGACUGAUUAGCAUAAUUUUUCUUUUUGAAUUUUUCCUUAUAUCGGCACCUAUUUAGGUCUUCAAUUUUGAUGAAAUUGUGUUUGUUUGGUAGAAAACUACUUUUUUAUUUCUGUUUGUAUGACGUUAGCUUAAUUUAGCUCUUUACUGGAAAAUUCGAGGCCUAAAAAAUUGAAAGAAGAAACACAAAAUAGGAAUAAUAUUUUAAGGAACUGAAAAUAUUGUUCUUUAGAAAAUAAUUUUCCCUAAGCUGAUUUAGAUACAAUCAAAAUGCACAAUUCCUACCAGCGUCGAAAAGAGAAAAUUCAAAACGGUUCAUGAGUGUGUACCUAUGGCCUUCUAUUUAUGUGCAAAAAGGCAAAAGGUACUUAGAUAAGAUUCACUAUUUGACUAAUCAAUUUUUUAAUGUAUACAAAAUUUAGAACAUUUUUGUAAGCAUUUUAACAUUUACCCCUUUACAGCUUAAGGUGGAUACAUUUAACCUAAUAGAGUUAUCCGGUACAUCCGAAACAAGGUUCAUUUCUGUAAGUAAUAAAAUAUUUGAUCGUUUGAUAUUGUAUAUAAUAACUAUGUUUGCUUUGUAUAUAUCAUUUUCCAAUUUUCAGUUGUGUUAUAGACUUAUAGUAUAGAUAUUUCUGCUCAUAUUUAUAUAAUAUUUAUUCUUAUUUUCUAUUUAAAUUCUUGACUUCUACGAAUGACCUUUCCUUUGAUGUUUUUUGGGUUUCCAAAGAAAGAAGAAUCCAAAAUCAAUUAAAGGGCGUAGAGAUAACUAUAUUUUCAUUAUAAUAGGUGACUAUUUGUUCCCAACUUUCUUUUUAUUGUGUACAUUAUACAUCCCAAUAAUUCCUUUUGCUAGCUUCUGCUAGNAUAAAAAGAAAGUUGGGAACAAAUAGUCACCUAUUUAAAUUCUUGACUUCUACGAAUGACCUUUCCUUUGAUGUUUUUUGGGUUUCCAAAGAAAGAAGAAUCCAAAAUCAAUUAAAGGGCGUAGAGAUAACUAUAUUUUCAUUAUAAUAGGUGACUAUUUGUUCCCAACUUUCUUUUUAUUGUGUACAUUAUACAUCCCAAUAAUUCCUUUUGCUAGCUUCUGCUAGACUUCUUAUAUCAAAUUUUUAGUUGCAGAACUUUUAGAUGCAUUGCGCAGUAAACGAAGAUGCAAUGAUGAUGAAGCGUUUAGUGAUGAUUCUCCUGCAUAUGAAAAAAAAUGUACUUUGAUCACUAAUUCAUGUUAUAUUUCAUCAAUCCUGGUACUUUUCUAGAGCAAACGAAUGCUUAGACAUGACACUAUAAGAAAGUCUCAUAUGUAAACUUGGUGACCAUUCAUUUAGAUAUGCCGGGAACAAGGUCUUUCUGAAAGAAUAUUGAUUGUUAUUAUUUCUACAAGCCAUAUUUUGCAACUUGACUUUUAUUAUAGCUGCGUGAGUACACCUGAUUUCAUGAAGCAUUGACAAUUGUCAUCUCUUUAUGUAAACAUUUAAUUGUUGCUGAAAAUAAUCUGAAAGUUGUGGUGAGGACAACAGUAGGGCUUAGGGAGCUCGAGAAGCGGUGCACCACGCCUAUCAGGAAGCUGCAACAAAACAUAGACGACAUGAUAGUGGAUAUACACUACCAGUCAUUCUCCCUUUCUCUUAUUUUUUAGAAAAAUGGUACAUAAAUACUUUUGUAAGAACAAAUUUGCUCUCUCUUUGAUGCUUCCUUUGGCUAUCCCUUUGUUCCUAAGCUUUUUGAGAUUUCCAAUUAACUAUAAUAAAUAUAAACUUUUGCACUCUGUUUGGUUGGGAUAUAAGGGGUGGGAUAACCCUUUAUCCCACCCCUUAUACCCAAACAAAAAAAAGGGGUGGGAUUGCUAUCCCACCCCUUAACGGGUUAUCCCGGGAUAACCCGUUAAAGGGUGGGAUAGCAAUCCUACCCCUCCCCCUGGAACAGGGGUGGGAAUAGUUAUUCCCACCCCUAUUUAAUUUUAAAAUUUAAAAUUUAAAUUUAAAAUUUAAAAUAUUAAUUUUAAAAUUUUAUAAUCUUGUAAUCUUAAAAUUAAAAUUUAUAUCUUAAAUUCAAAUCUACUAAACUCUAAAUUUUUAAAUUUUAAAUUGAUAUAUUUAAUUUUUUAAAUUUAAAAUUUAAAAUUUUAUAUUUCUACAUUUAGAUUGAUCUUAAAUUUAAAAUUUGAAAGUGAAAAUUUAGAACUUUGAAUUUUCGAAUUUGAGAUUUUUAAAUUCAAAUUUAAUUUUGUAUUUUUGAAAUUUAAGAGUUAUAUAUUUAAAUUUAAAAUUUUAAAAUAUUAAAUUUAAAAUUUUUAAUUCAAAUAUAAUAAGAGGACAAUAUCAUUAUUUCUAUUUAUAACCCCAACUAUCCUUCUUAUUCCACUUACUCCAACGAAACACUAUUUGCUUAUACAUGGACAAAACCCAAUACUCAACCAAACACAAAAAUUACUUUAUACACACCUUAUACCUCAUCUUAUACCUAUUCCUGGAAUAACUAGUUCUUACUUAUACCCGAACAAAUGAAGCCGGGUAUUUAGCUCAAAUUUGUUACUUCUUCUGUAGCUUUUUCUUUGGCNNNNNNNNNNNNNNNNNNNNNNNNNNNNNNNNNNNNNNNNNNNNNNNNNNNNNNNNNNNNNNNNNNNNNNNNNNNNNNNNNNNNNNNNNNNNNNNNNNNNNNNNNNNNNNNNNNNNNNNNNNNNNNNNNNNNUUUAAAUUUUAAAUUGAUAUAUUUAAUUUUUUAAAUUUAAAAUUUAAAAUUUUAUAUUUCUACAUUUAGAUUUGAUCUUAAAUUUAAAAUUUGAAAGUGAAAAUUUAGAACUUUGAAUUUUCGAAUUUGAGAUUUUUAAAUUCAAAUUUUAAUUUUGUAUUUUUGAAAUUUAAGAGUUAUAUAUUUAAAUUUAAAAUUUUAAAUAUAAAAUUUAAAAUUUUUAAUUCAAAUAUAAUAAAGAGGACAAUAUCAUUACUUUCUAUUUAUAACCACCCACUAUCCUUCUUAUUCCACUUACUCCAACGAAACACUAUUUUCCUUAUACAUGGACAAAACCCAAUACUCAACCAAACACAAAAUUACUUUAUACACACCUUAUACCUCAUCUUAUACCUAUUCCUGGAAUAACUAGUUCUUACUUAUACCCGAACCAAAUGAAGCCGGGUAUUUAGCUCAAAUUUGUUACUUCUUCUGUAGCUUUUUCUUUUUGCCUUCAUCGAUAGUUAUUCAAUCAUUUCCUUCUUACCAUUUUUAUGUAUUUGACUUUACAUGUUUAUUUCAUUUUUGUUGUUUUUAAAGAGUUUUACUUCUAUUCUACACUAUUUCGUUGAUACAUCAGAGUAUGUAUUGUUUGAAACUUUUUUUGUAUGAGACAAUAAUUGCUAAGCUUGCCUUCUAUGUGAGACGUUGCUUUUUCUUUUUUUUUGGCUUUUUUAGGAAUACCAAAUUAAGUCUUAAGAAUUAAUAGCAAAGUGUAUUGGAUGGAUUUGCAAACUUUAUUCUUAAUUAUAUUAACAUUUUAUUAAAUCUAUAAAUUUUCACUCCAACAAAGAUCUAUCCGCCGCAUCACACGAGUCCCUCAUGAUUGCUCAACAACAAGGAGAAGUCAGACCAACCAUAACUCUCGAUUUGCUUUAUUGGUCAGAAUGUGAGGCAAAUACAAGAAAAUAAAAUGACCAGGUAGACAAAUAAUAAAGACAACAGGAAUAGAACAAUAGUUGAUAACAUUCAAGAUAAGCUUAGGUUAGCACCAAAAGAGAAAAAAACUAUAAAGAACACCCUUUAAUGUGGUCUGGAUAUGUGUAACAGCCACUACACAAAAAACUAGCAUGGAGAAAUAUAUAUUGCUUACAUUUCACAAGAAGUCUCACAUGGCUGGCUGAUUCACAAAGUUGCACAUUAAAUCUCUUCUUGAUAAUGCCACUAGUUCGCACCCCAGACUCACUAGUUAGUGGCCAAGGCUAACUAGCUAACUAUUUUUAAGGAUCUAUGUAGAAAUGUAAUGUCUACGCAUUUACUUUUUUGGGGGCAGGGAAAGGCAAGGCUAAUUAUUUCAUAGGAUUAAACCUAAUGCACUACACCAAGAUGGAUAUGAAAGUACUAAAAGUAUUAUUGGUAUUUUUAGAAAACAAAUACUUCUGGUAUCACAGAGCUGAUCGUAUUUAUAUGUGAUUCAGUUUCUGCAAUAAUCUUUAAUUUUCAGAAGGAAGCUCUCCUUCUUUGACAUGUAUUUGAAUAUGUAUAGAAAAUGGCCGUAAGACUUGAUUCCGUCGAAUGAUAUACAUAUAUGUUUGUAAAAGAUACUAUGUGGUAGUAAAACAACAAAUUAAGAAAUAGAGAAAUGGUUCACAACUGAAAAGUUGUUCCCGUUUAUCUUGUGCUCAUAUAGACCAUUUAAAUAAUUACUAUAAAUCUUAUGAGAAAAAAAAGGAACAAUUGAGCUUGUUCCUUACAAGUCCAGAUACCAUCUAUCAGGUGCUCAUCUAUAGAUAUAUUAAAAGUUGAGUUUUACUGUGGCGACGUGUCGGCUUCUCAGCGCCCCCCUCCUUUGAUCCCUUCGCUAGCGCGCGAGGAGCGCGGGUCGCACACACGCGGUAUCACGGUCGGGCGCAGGCGCGCGAAGGGCGCAAGCGGGCACCGGGCGCACGCGCACGUGGCAGCACAGGCGGGCCCGGGCGCGAGCAGGCGCCGGCCGCGGGUUGCGUGCAAUGGCAGCACGGGCGGCGCGAGGCACGCGGGCGCGAGCGGGCGCCGGGCCGAGCCCGCAGACAUUGCAGAGUGGGCGUGCGGCGGCGCGGCGGGCGGCUCGAGGGGCCAUGGCGGCGCGGUUGGGCGGCAACUGUCUCUCCCGCUCCCGCUUUCUCCCUCUCCUCUCCCUCUCCCUCUCCCGCCUCUCUCUUUUCGUACUCUCCCUCUCCCUCCCACAGCAGCAGACGCACACGGACGAGCGAGGGGGGUGCAGCGCAUGGGCUGGCCGAGGCUGCGGGUGGGCGGCCUCGACCGGGGGACCCCUCUCUCUCUUCUUCUCCUCCUCUCUCGUCUCUCUAACUCAUCUCUCUCUCCCCCCCACGAGCGGCAGCACUCAGCGGGGCUGGUUGCGGUGGGCCGGCUCAGAAGCGGCCCCUCUCUCUCUCUCUCUCGUCACUCUCCUCGUCUCUCUCUCCCCCCCCACAUGAGGCGGGCAACCGACACGGCACGGCAAGCGUAGCACAUACGAGGUGAGGGCACUCGAGUGGCCUCUCUGUCUCUCUCUUUCUCUCUCUCCACUCCUUCCUCCCUCCCUCUCCUCCUCCCUCCCUCUCCCCCGCCUCUCUAUCUCUCUCAUGAUAAAUUUAAAAAUGUAAAAUUUUGAAAAUUAAUUUAAAAACUUUACCAUUUCAAAUGCUAAAUUUAAAAUUAUUUAAAUUUUUAAAUUUUUUAAUUAUUUAAAAAUUAAAUUAAAUGUUCAAAUAGAAAACUGUUGAAAGUUAAAAUUAAAUCUAAAAUUUGAAAUUGAAAUGAAGUAUUUGGGAAUUUAAUAAUUUGUAAUUUUUAAUUAAUUUAUAAUUAAUAUUUAAAAUAUUGAAAAUUAAAAUUUAAAAGUUAAAACUAAAAUUAAAAAUUUUAUAUGUUUAUUUAAUUACAACAAAAUAUUUAAAAUAUGUCAAAAUUGAAUAUUUAAAAAUUUUGUGAAUUCAAUUUAUAAUUUAAUUUUUAAAAAUAUUGGCAAUUUCACACUUUAAAGUUAAAACUUAAAAUUUAAAAAUUUUAUAGUUUAUCUUAAUUACUAAAACUAAAUUUUACAAUUUUACAUUUUUAAACUUUAAAUUUCAGUUCCUAAAUUUUAAAUUUUACAUUUUAUGUUCAAAUUUUGAAUUUUAAAAUUUAAAAUAUAAAAUCUAAUAUUUUAAACUUAAAAUUUAAAAGUUUUAUUAUUUUAUCUUAAUUACUAAAACUAAAUUUUACAAUUUUACAUUUUAAAACUUUAAAUUUCAGUUCCUAAAUUCUAAAUUUUACAUUUUAUAUUCAAAUUGUGAAUUUUAAAAUUUAAAAUAUAAAAUCUAAUAUUUGAAACCUAAAAUUUUAAAUUUGAUAUUUGAUAUUUAAAAGUUAAAAAUAAUAUUUAAAAUCUAAGUCUGAAAGAUGUUUAUUUGAAAUUCAUCAAUUUUGAAUUUCAAAUCUGAAUGACAGUUUAAAAUUCAACUAUAAAAUCAAAAUUUUAAUUUUAAUUUUAAAUCGAAAAUCAAACUGAGAUUUUAGGUUGCCGAUGUUGAUCCACCGCGAAGCACGGGCCCUAAACUAGUUUAACAAAAUUAGAGAUACUAGUAGUAUAUACUUGAUACUUACCAUACUAUCUGAAAACUUCUUAUUCAAUGAACAAAAAUGAGAAAAGUAUUUCAACUAGACCAGAUUUACUAAACUAACCUCAAGAAAUGUAAUCUUGAGCUGAUUGGAUGGCCGAAUCACCACACUUAAGACUUCUGAUCUACAUCAUAAGAAAGAAUAUCAGUCAUUCUUACCAGAAUGAUUUUAUCAUCAAAACAAUGAUAAAGGAACUUCCAACUUCCUUUAAAUAACACCAAAUAGCUCUCAAGGGCAAUGUAAAUUGACCUUCUUAUGACAUGCUCAAACAAAACGAAAAAAAUGAACAGAAAGGACAUUGAGUUAAAUGUUGACAACCACAUAUAUUUUAAUGCAAGGCAUGAUGGCAACCUAUUAUAUGUUCAGUAGAGCAAAUACUGUUAAGCAUGUCACUUCGUGAAAGAAGUAAGAUUAAAGUUCAAGUCCAUACUAGUAGCAACAAUUUGCAUCCAUGGUGAUCAAGUAUUGAACCUUAGCUAUCACACCCCAGUAGUCCCAUGCUACAAACUGUAGGCGUUUAUACUACAGAGUUCCUUGUUGUUCAGACUUUCUCCUAUUGAUGACUUCUAAAACUAUCUUUCACUUGGAGAAUUGUAACCUAUUUAGAGUACAUUCAUUGAAAUUUUAAAAUGAUUGGUAGAAAGGGAAAAAAAAAAAAAAAAAAAAAAAACNCACAUAUUUUAGGGUCUCACAUGAGAAGCUAGCCAUCUGCUAAGCUCCAGGCAACCCCUCUGCUUCUAGAGAUCCAUUUAAAAAUUUUCUACAAUUUUCUUUAUAGUAUAGUAAGUUCCAUUGUCAGGGGAAUUUAGUCUCAUGCGGGGAUACAGUCAGCUGGGCCUGGGAAUCCUGAAAUCCCUAAAAUCGCGUCUAGAAUCUGUUCAAAACCAGGCCAACAUAUGGAAGAGUACCUCGGAAUUCUUUGUUAUGACAGAGAGUGACACCUAAUUGGUUUCCUAGUAAAUGUAGGUACCACAGGAACUUGAGCUUAGAGUGUCCACAUGCUUCCUAGUUCGGUUGCUCCGAUCAGCCUACAUCCAAAGUGCCUCUUUGACACAAAUUACGAUAUGGUAAUCUGGUUAUUAGUCUCAGAGAACACUGUCUAACUACAAUAUAGAGCAGUUCAAAAGGCAGCAAAUAAUUAAGUCUUCUAGAAGAACUUUAACACCCAAACUAUAAUGAAGAUUCACCAUAAUUGAACGAACAGACGGAGACACUCAAGUCUUCAUCUUGUUUUCACUUCGAUUCAGGUUUACAUAUACAACAGUCAAAGAUGGAACCUUGUGCUUCAAACUACUAGUUCUCAAAGUCAGAACAGCUCGAAUAUGAAAACAAAUCUCUAAGCCCACCAACUGUCAGUUGACUGUAAGCUUUAAGCUAGAGAACAAUGCUUGCAAAUUUCUUGUUCUAUUCAUUUGUUAAAAUCUAAACGUGUAACCACAGUUCCUAGACAUCUACUUGAGGUUAAACAGUAAAACCAGUCUCAAUAGUCUACAAAGAGGGAUCUGACAACAAAUAAAUUCUAAAAAGAUGUGCUCAUUUGUAGAAGUUACCGACCUAUCCGGAGAUGCGAAACGAGCAGCAAAUGUCUUGGGCUUAGCUUUAUCACCAUAGAAUGUAAACCCAGUGCUGUAGUCCUAAAAGCACGCAGAUGAAAACCUUAUUCAUGAACUGAAAAAUGUCAACGCAGCAUCAUAGAAUAGCUUCAAUUAUUCUGCAAUUUCGACAAUUCGUUACCUCCGGCUCCAUGAUGUCCUCAAAGAGCGGCGGCACGCGGAUGGCGAAUCCGUCGCCGAAAAACUGAGACCAAGAUUUGGUGCUGGAAAUCCCACCAAGAAUCGGACUCUUACGAGAAGAACUCGCGCUCUCCGAAGACUCCGGUAGGGCAUCCUCUGCGGCGAAGCUCCACAGCGGAGUGAGGGAGGCGAUGGAGACAAUCGCCACGUUGGUCAUAGCUUCCCUCCUAGUGGAGCAAUAACAACAACAACGAUAUACCCCUUUUCUCUUGUGACGAAAUCUAGGGUUAGGGUUUCGGGAGGGGAGCCUCGGAGGAGGAGGGAAGAGGAGGAGGAGAGCGAGGGCCAUGAAGAAGCUAAAGGGCAAUCUUGUUAUUUUAGACGAAACUGAAGUCGUUUUUCUCCGACCAACUACGGGAGAUUCAGGACGCGCGACACACCAACCUGGCCUUUUCAGCUGGUCGAAUAUCUCGGACUAAAAGGACGAACGUGCCCUCGCGCGGAGGAGAAACUGAGAAAGACGUUGGGAGGCCACUCACUUGCCCCUUAUCCGAAUUCAAAUCCAGCCAACCAAUCAAAAUCCUGAGGAAGGAAAAAAAACAAAAAAAACAAAAAAAACAAAAAAAAAAAAAAAGAGAAAGAAAGAGAAAUGAAGCCGAGUAGGAGGAAGGAGUGUUCCUUCUCCGCCGCAUUUCCCUCCAUUUGGUCCUCGUCCCACCAAUGGAGAGCAUCUUCUCUCCCACCUCCUUCGGUCCUCUCCUCAACCCCAAAUCCGCGGACCCAAGAAUCCCCUCUCACCAACCCAAACCCAAGGCGUCUUCUCCGCUGCACGCAAGACCCAUCAUCACCUGCAGCGCGAAGAGCAAGCCGCCGGCGGAUUCGCCUUGGCUGAGAAAGAGCUGGAUUUCCCGCCUCCACCACGGCUUGGCAGCCGCUGCGCUCUCCCUUGCUGUCAACUUCUGCCCCAUUUCGACUCUCGACUCCCCCGCUCUCGCUUCGGAGUUCGACGUGCUGAGCGGGGGCCCGCCCACGGAUUCGUAUGUAGUUGAUGAUGCAGGCGUGCUAAGCCGGGUGACCAAGUCUGACUUGAAGAGGCUCAUGUCUGAUCUCGAGUCGAGGAAGAAUUUGCGAAUCAAUUUCAUCACCGUUCGCAAGCUAACGGUGCGUCUUCUUCUCUUUUCCUCACUGACUCUAUAUUUUCUUGCUGUUUCAUUAUCAAAUUUGUGUUCUCUGCAUUCUUUGCCCUCUUUUAAUCUAACUACUUUGACUUCUUGGCACGAUAGACUCAAGGUAAAAAUGUACUGACACUCCUCAACUACAGAAGAUUUUGAUGUAGGUCCUUCAAUUUUACUUUCUUUAUUAGCACUCGUUAAUUUAUAUCUAGCGACGUACCCACGUUUUGCAGAUUAUAAUUAAGUUCUUAAUUAUAUUUAAAAAAUGCAGUAUAUACCAUUCGUUAACACUCGUUAAUUUAUAACACUCGUUAAUUUAUAACUAGCGACGUAUCCACGUUUUGCAGAUUAUAAUUAAGUUCUUAAUUAUAUUUAAAAAAUGCAGUAUAUACUACAUACUAUAUAAAAUUAUUUUAUAAAGUCGAAUAGAAAUAUCAACUUUCAUACAGUUAUUCAACAUAUAUUUAUAUCAAGUUUUAAAAUAUAAGCAUUUUCUAGAGCAAAAUAGUAAAAUUCGUAAAAUAUUUUUUUUGGGUUGUUUUGUCCCGAAGAUAUAUUUUCUCUUUUUAUGUUUCUUUCUCCUAAUUCUUUUAAGUAUUUUAGGUCAUUACGUCCAAUCUAUGCAAGCAAUGUCAAGAAUUGAGAAAUUAUAAUUAAAUAAAAGUAGUUAUUCUAAUUCAUAGUAUUUUUCUUGAUUGAUUUUCUAAUAUUUUUUUGGAAUUUGGAAACAUAUACUUACUCCCAAAAAAAAUUUCUAACUUUAGCAAAACUAAAGUACCAAAUAGUCCUCAAAAAUAUAAAAAUAUUAGAGAAAUUGGAGGCAAUCCUUCUAAAAUUAGGAUAUCUUUGACUAUAUUAAUGUAGACCCAACUUACUUAUAUUGGUGCAUUGUGAGACCCCAGGUAGUCCUAUAUAUAAGAUAUAAUAGGGCUAAACUCUUAACCCGGCUUAAGCAUUUUGGGUGGUGGCAAGGCCCAAGAGGUUAAGAGAGUUAAGCGUGCUAGGACGGGAGUAGUCCUAGGAUGGGUGACCCCCUGGGAAGUCGGGGCGUCACAGAUGGUAUCAGAGCCAAUUACCAGCCGGAAGUGUGAGAUGAGUCUCGGCUGAGCCAGGGUCUGGAUGACGGGCUAGCGAGAUGAGUCUCACAUCGCCUGGUACUUGUGAGUCUGAGCCUGACGAGGACGUCAGGGCUUAAAGGAAGGGAGAUUGUGAGACCCCAGGUAGUCCUAUAUAUAAGAUAUAAUAGGGCUAAACUCUUAACCCGGCUUAAGUAUUUUGGGUGGUGGCAAGGCCCAAGAGGUUAAGAGAGUUAAGCGUGCUAGGACGGGAGUAGUCCUAGGAUGGGUGACCCCCUGGGAAGUCGGGGCGUCACAUGCAUGAUGUGGGCGGGCUAUUAAAUAAAGGAACUACAAAAAUAUUUAAAACUAGAACAACCAACUUUAUUAAAUAUAACUAAACUUAAGUACACAAGAACUUAUUAAUACAAUUUGAUCCACAUAACCUUUCAUCAAAAGAAAUAAACUAAUAAACUAAUAAACAAACUUAUAAUAAAGAGAAGGUUUUACCCAAGUCAUUUUAGGCAAAAGCAGUUGCAUGCACAGUAUAUUUAAUUAAUAGAAGUCCAACUAAGAGUCUAAGAACGAGACACCAGAAAAAGGGUGGAGUGGAUAUAAACCUGGAGUAAACAUCUCAAGAUAUUCGGAAGCAUUGCUUACGCACAAAUUCCCAAGAAGAAAAAAAAAAAAGUUAGAUGAUUGAGGCGAAAAAUUUAUCUUUACUAGUUAUAGUGAGCACUUUAAAACUUACAAACUAUAUAAUCCAAUUACCAAUAAAGUAAUUAUAAGUAGAGAUGUCAUAUUCGACAUGUUGGCAUUUGGUUAAACCGAAUUGAGUGCGCCCAUGAUCGGGCUCGAUCCGAUAGUUAUUAUGUUGUCUAAUUGGAUUAGGAUUAACCUAACUUGUAAAUUGGAAAGCUAAUUAGAAAUAUAUUCUAACCAUAUUAGGAUAACAAUCAUAAACCGAUUCGGCCUAAUCUCUUAAUUAUUUAUUAGGGUUUUGGGGAUCCUUUAUAAAUAUACGGGUUAUUCUCUCAUAAAAGACAAGAAAAAUAGAGAAAAUUACUCAUAAAUUCGUGAGUAAUUCGUGAGCCGUUUUGUGAGAAAGAGAAACUACAUCCUCCAUUAACCUAUUGUUCUAAAGGGUCUUGAACAGUGGAUUACAGAUCGUGCUCGUUUGUAGUUCGAUCUACUGUAAGUUUGGAGUGUUAGAAGAUCUUCAUGGACGAUCCGAGGACAGGUGAAUUAAUCUCUACGAUCCGGGUUGAUCGCGUUCUAGCACAAGUCACUUCUGCAAAAGGUACGAACGAAUACUUCCUGCGUUCUACACGACGAAAAUGCCACAUGGAAUUGGACUGUGGAGGAAAAAGAAAAAGAAUUAAUAGAUCAGAAAAUUGAAGAAACCGACAAUGUGGCAAAUGAUAAUGACACUCCAUCACCAAUUACUUCAGCAUUAGCAUUACCUGCUUCUUCAUCAUCCACUGCUUCAAGUUCAUCAAGUCCAGUCAGAUUAAAAAGACUAAAAGAUAUAUACAAUGAAACGGAUGUGAUUGAUAGUGAGAAUUUACUUUAUUUACAUCUUAACGAAGAACCAUUAACUAUUGAAGAGGCUCUACAAAAAGGAUGUUUGGCGCACUGCAAUGAAUGAAUAAAUCAAAGCAAUAAAGAAAAAUAAAACGUGGGAACUGACUUCACUUCUUACAGGAUAUAAAGCUAUUGGAGUAAGAUAGAUAUAUAAGAUCAAUGGCACAGCAUAUCUGGAUCCGCUCGGUCACGAACUCAUUUACCUGUGCAAGCGUAGUAGCAUAGCAAUUCUUCACAAAGUUAUACUCCUGAACCAAGCUGUUGUAGUGUGCAAACAGCACAGCAUGCUCUGUGGCUAGAUGAUUGUUUAGAUUUUUUAUAAAAGAUACUAUCAUCAUAAUUUACAUCUUUAACUUGCAAAUCGAAUUCUUCAACCAUCCUCUUAAUAGCAAGACGAGCAACAUCGUGUUCAGACGCAACAGAUGUGGAGGCUUGCGCCCCCCAACAUCGUACCAUUUCAACUAUAGAUUCAUUUCGUGGAAUCGAAAGAUCUAUAUAUGCAAGAUAAGUCCUCUCUGCAGCAAGAGUGACAACACACUGUGGUGUUUCCAUUUGCAGCUGAUCACAAAUUUCACGCAACAGUGUAAGGUAAGAAGGUUGGACAGUCGACAUAGAAGAAGCUGCAAAAGAAAAGAAGGAAAAAAAAGAAGGGGAGGAGAGGUAAAGGAGAAGUCAUUAAAAAUUGACUGAUAAAAGAAUAAAAUAACAUGCCAGGAGAAACAAAUAUCCUUAAUGAAGACAUGAGUAGUAAAAGAAACCAAAAAAUAAUUUUAAGUAAUAUUAAAAAAAUACACAAAAUUUUCAAAGUAAUGGCAUGCACGAGUAAUCUUCAAGACUUCAAGGCUCAGGUAAUAUAGGCAAUUAAUUUAUGCCAUGGAAGGAGGCACACAACAGAAUUGAUCAAUUUAAGAACAGCAAGUAACCUGCCUAUGAUAAGACGGUCCAAAAUUCUAUCCAAAAUUUUGCAUCCUUAAUUUGUUUCUGCUUGCUUAUCAUCAUUGUCUUAUGCCAUGAAAAGAGGCAUACAAGAGGAUUGAUCAUUCAUAGAAAGAAGUAUGUUAUACCAAUCAAUUUUAAAAUAGUAAGUGGUUGCCUAUAUAUGAUAAGGCCAUCCAAACUUACUAUUCAAGAUUUUGCAAUUAUUUGUUUAUGCUUGCUUAUCAUCAUUGUCUUAUGCUAUAAAAAGAUGCAUGCAAGAAGAUUGAUCAUUCAUAGAAAGAAGUACCUCGUACCAAUCAAUUUUAAAAUAGUAAGUGGUUGCCUAUGAUAAGCCAUCCAAACUUGCUAUUCCAUAUUUGUAGCCAAUCAAUUUAAAAGUACUAAGUAGUUCCCUAUGAUAAGGCCGUCUAAGCUUGUUGUUUCCUGCUUGCCUAUCAUCAUUGCCUAGAAGACCAGCGAAAAUAAAACAUCAAUCGAAAAAGGGGGGAAGAUAGUAAAGCCAAAGUCAUAGUAAAUAAGAAAGAACACACACAGAAAAAAAAGGAAUACUAAGGAAGACAGGAAGAAAGAACAAAGUAAUCACAUAGCACAGUUAGAAAAAAAAACAAACACCAAGAACCAUUAAAGAUUAGUAAAUAUGGCCUAUAAAGUGAAGUCUGCGCCGGUUUAGAAUACAAUUAGUAGAAUGAAUAGAAAUCAGUAAAAAAAUCAGUAACUUAUAAGGAAAUCUUAUAGGCACGGGCGAAUACUUUAGUACUUUAAUUUUUCUCUGCCAACUUUAAACUGCAGGAAAAUAAAAAGCGAAGCAGAAGGAACCAAAGAAGAUCAACCUUUUGUGAGCAGGCAGUAAAGAGGAGAGUAAUGUAGGGACCUACAAAACAGUACAAUAGUAGUAAAAUCAUUCGGUCAUAAUUAACAUUAUUAAUUAAUUAUAUUAUUGAUGAGAAGAUUUGAAGGGAGGAAUAUACCUUUAUUGGUUUGAGAAGAACACUGUGCCAUCCAGCAAUUAAUAAAGGGAGCUAUCUAUAAUAAAUCUGAAAUAAGCUUUCAACUAUAAGAAGCAAAGAGGGAAGGCAACAAGGCUAAGAAUAGGGACAGAGGCUAUAGGGUUUAUCGAUAAUUAGAAGAUCUUUCCUCGGUAAUCUUUUGAAACUCAGAAAAAAAUUUGUAAAGAUACUUUCAGAACUAAAGAAAUAAAAUAAGAGCAACAUAUUUUAAAAAAAUAGUAAAAAAAUGAGUAAAAAUCUUUGGGAACUCUCAACAGAUCUCUAAAUAACCUACCAAAACCAUAGGAAUAGGGUAGGUUUAGCCUAAAGCAACCAUCGAAUGGACAGAGUUGGCUAGUUAUAGGAUUUGUGUAAACAACAUUUGAAAAUCUCACCAGAUCUGUAAAAAUCUUUUGAAAAUCUCACCAGAUCUGUAAACAACCAACCAAAACCAUAGAAAUAGGCUAGGUUUAGGCCUAGGAGUAACCGCCCAAUCCAUGGGCUCAUCCCAUACUCGGCCAAGGCGACCGGCAGAGCAAUCGAGAGAGGCAUCGAAGUAGGGGAGAGAGAGCGAUUCGGAAGAACCGUCACAAUGGAAACCACCCAAUGGACGGGCUCAUCGUAUCUGCGGUCGAAUCGAGCGGCGGAGCGUUCCAGAGAGACCUCGAGGUAGGAAGGUAGGGCACUCAUCAGGAAGGCAUCAGAGGUUUGAGGGCAAAGAAGAGAGAGAGAGUUAGGGAGAUCUUACCGGAUCUGUAAACAACCUACCAAAACCAUAGACAUAGGCUAGGUUUAGGCCCAGGAGCAACCGGUCAAUCGACGGACUCAUCCCACACGCGGCCGAGGCGACCGGCCGAGCGAUCGAGAGAGACAUCGGAGUAGGGGAGAGAAAGCAAUUGGGAAGAAGCGUCAUAAUGGAAACCGCCCAAUGGACGGGCUUAUCAUAUCUACGGUCGAAUCGAACGGCGGAGCGUUCCAGAGAGGCCUCGAGGUAGGAAGGUAGGGCACUUAUCAGGAAGGCAUCAGAGGUUUGAGGGCGAAGAAAAAAGAGAUAGUUAGGGGGAGGGCGUGGAGAGAGGCCUCGGAAGAGAUGUACAAGGAGGAGAAAGAAGGCAAAGGGCGUAGAGAGAAGCCUCAGAAGAGGCGUACAUGAGAGAGGGGCGGCAUAGGGAGAAAAGAGAGAGAAAAGAGAGAUAGAGAGAAGCGGAAGAGGUACCUAAGGAAAUUAAAUACUUUCAAAUAGACAGAAACGUGGCCACGUCUGGAAACUAUCAAUUUCUAUUUGUGGAAACAGAAAAUGCUGCCACGUAUACCCUAGAAACUGUCAAUUAAUAUAUUUGUAUGGAUAUGGGACUUUUGGGGUACAUUCAUUUAGAUUAUUCUAGCUUGAUUUCUAUAUUUAGUUGAUAAAGAUUCUCUAUAAUCUGCUAAAAUAUGUGCUACAAGGUUUAAACUAAACCGACAAAUAGAUGAGUUUUGAUGGUAUUCUGUAUUAUCACACUUCCAAUUGGUUUGGCCACUUGGCAUCCUACGAACGAAGAUAUCAUUUCUAUGGAUUUCAAUUGAAUUUUAUAUAGAAGAUAACUGUUAGGAUUUGGUUAGAUUUGUAGUUGAAUCCUAUUUAGAUAAGAAUUAAUAUUUAAAUCUGUUGGAGAUAAAUUAAGAUUUAAAUAUUAAUUAAAGGAUAAACCUAACUAGAUUAGGAUUAAUAUUUAAAUCUAUUAGAGAUUGAUUAAGAUAGAUUUAGAUAUUAAUUGGAGUAGAAAUCCUAAAUAUAUUAGGAUUGGGGUACGUUUUAGUGGAGCCUUAUAAAUAGCACUUUGUGGGUUUGCUUUUUGAUGUAAAGUACGGGAGAGAGAGAGAGAAUCUCUUGGGUUGCCGUACCAGAGAGAGAAAAAGAGAUAGAGAGAGUUAUUUAAUUAUGCUUUGAGUGCACCUAGUGCACGGGUGCAUGUGAAGGAUUGUCUUCUUUAUGGGUUUAUAGAAGACGAGAGAAGGGUAGGAGAGAUUUAGAGAGAAGGCUCGGGCUGUAGCUACUAUGUGCAGAAGAGGAGUCAGGUGUAAUAUUCUCUUAUUUAAUGAAUCUUAUUUUAUCCUUCUUUCUUUUAUGAUUGUAUCAGCUUUUGCUGAGGAGACGAGUUUAUGGUAAAAACCCGAUUUGACGCUUCCGUUGCGGAAUCCCAACAAUCGGUACCGAAUCCAUAGCAGUCGGUAUCAGAGCGGGUUGCGGAUUCACAAGAUUCGGUACCGGGGCGAGUACCGGAUUCCCAACAAUAACCUCAAAAUGGUUGUAUUAAAUAUUAUCAAACAAUUAAUUGAUUAUGAAUUGGAGCAUGUUCGAGGAAAAAAAAGGCCUUAUCUUUAUGCUGAUCUUUUUUAAUUUAGACAUUAUCAUUGUUAUUAAUCUUCCAUAUAAUCUUUAUUUGUCAUUGUGAUUGAUCUUUCCAUAUAAACUAUGUUUCAUUUUAUCAAUUUUUUUUACUCGUAGCAAAUUCUUUUAAAUAUUUCCUUCUAUAGUAUGUGGUUAGUCAUUCUCAUGUGCUCAUGCAUCUAUCUCCAUCCAUAACAAUUUAUUUGACAAAUCUUAUCUAUUUCAGAGGCUAAUAGAACAAAAUUUUGUUACAAGAUAGUGUAAGAUUACUUAUAAAAUGGAAUUCAUGGUUUAUUGUUCAUGUAAAGAUUGUUGGAUUGAAUAAACUAAAUCACUAUUGUUUAAGCAGUAUUCUUCGAAGCAAGAUUUAAAGUGCCGUGGCACAGGGGCGUGCCGCUGUCUACCUGGCACGGUAUGGCACCGACACGCUUUCAUGCUGACACAUGUAAAAGAUUUAAUCAAAUAAUUAUGAAUAUUUGUUAUGUAUAACUUACUAUACUCAAUAAUUAACAUACUUGUAAGUUUUUUUUGUAUGUAAGUACAACUACACCUUAUGCAGAAUAAAAAUUUUUACAGAUUAGAAUUUAAAAAAUGCAAAGACAUUUUUCUUUCUUUCUUUUGACCACAUUACAGUUUUUUUUCAUAAAAUAUAAAAAAAAUAAUUUUUAAAUUUAUUUUAAAAAUUAUUUGAAAAAAAUAUUUUUUAAUUAAUUUUUUUCAAAAAAUUAUUAGAUCUAUCAAAAAAAUUAAGCAAUAAAUUAUAUGAUAAAUAAAUUAAAUAAAUUUAAGUAUNNNNNNNNNNNNNNNNNNNNNNNNNNNNNNNNNNNNNNNNNNNNNNNNNNNNNNNNNNNNNNNNNNNNNNNNNNNNNNNNNNNNNNNNNNNNNNNNNNNNNNNNNNNNNNNNNNNNNNNNNNNNNNNNNNNNNNNNNNNNNNNNNNNNNNNNNNNNNNNNNNNNNNNNNNNNNNNNNNNNNNNNNNNNNNNNNNNNNNNNNNNNNNNNNNNNNNNNNNNNNNNNNNNNNNNNNNNNNNNNNNNNNNNNNNNNNNNNNNNNNNNNNNNNNNNNNNNNNNNNNNNNNNNNNNNNNNNNNNNNNNNNNNNNNNNNNNNNNNNNNNNNNNNNNNNNNNNNNNNNNNNNNNNNNNNNNNNNNNNNNNNNNNNNNNNNNNNNNNNNNNNNNNNNNNNNNNNNNNNNNNNNNNNNNNNNNNNNNNNNNNNNNNNNNNNNNNNNNNNNNNNNNNNNNNNNNNNNNNNNNNNNNNNNNNNNNNNNNNNNNNNNNNNNNNNNNNNNNNNNNNNNNNNNNNNNNNNNNNNNNNNNNNNNNNNNNNNNNNNNNNNNNNNNNNNNNNNNNNNNNNNNNNNNNNNNNNNNNNNNNNNNNNNNNNNNNNNNNNNNNNNNNNNNNNNNNNNNNNNNNNNNNNNNNNNNNNNNNNNNNNNNNNNNNNNNNNNNNNNNNNNNNNNNNNNNNNNNNNNNNNNNNNNNNNNNNNNNNNNNNNNNNNNNNNNNNNNNNNNNNNNNNNNNNNNNNNNNNNNNNNNNNNNNNNNNNNNNNNNNNNNNNNNNNNNNNNNNNNNNNNNNNNNNNNNNNNNNNNNNNNNNNNNNNNNNNNNNNNNNNNNNNNNNNNNNNNNNNNNNNNNNNNNNNNNNNNNNNNNNNNNNNNNNNNNNNNNNNNNNNNNNNNNNNNNNNNNNNNNNNNNNNNNNNNNNNNNNNNNNNNNNNNNNNNNNNNNNNNNNNNNNNNNNNNNNNNNNNNNNNNNNNNNNNNNNNNNNNNNNNNNNNNNNNNNNNNNNNNNNNNNNNNNNNNNNNNNNNNNNNNNNNNNNNNNNNNNNNNNNNNNNNNNNNNNNNNNNNNNNNNNNNNNNNNNNNNNNNNNNNNNNNNNNNNNNNNNNNNNNNNNNNNNNNNNNNNNNNNNNNNNNNNNNNNNNNNNNNNNNNNNNNNNNNNNNNNNNNNNNNNNNNNNNNNNNNNNNNNNNNNNNNNNNNNNNNNNNNNNNNNNNNNNNNNNNNNNNNNNNNNNNNNNNNNNNNNNNNNNNNNNNNNNNNNNNNNNNNNNNNNNNNNNNNNNNNNNNNNNNNNNNNNNNNNNNNNNNNNNNNNNNNNNNNNNNNNNNNNNNNNNNNNNNNNNNNNNNNNNNNNNNNNNNNNNNNNNNNNNNNNNNNNNNNNNNNNNNNNNNNNNNNNNNNNNNNNNNNNNNNNNNNNNNNNNNNNNNNNNNNNNNNNNNNNNNNNNNNNNNNNNNNNNNNNNNNNNNNNNNNNNNNNNNNNNNNNNNNNNNNNNNNNNNNNNNNNNNNNNNNNNNNNNNNNNNNNNNNNNNNNNNNNNNNNNNNNNNNNNNNNNNNNNNNNNNNNNNNNNNNNNNNNNNNNNNNNNNNNNNNNNNNNNNNNNNNNNNNNNNNNNNNNNNNNNNNNNNNNNNNNNNNNNNNNNNNNNNNNNNNNNNNNNNNNNNNNNNNNNNNNNNNNNNNNNNNNNNNNNNNNNNNNNNNNNNNNNNNNNNNNNNNNNNNNNNNNNNNNNNNNNNNNNNNNNNNNNNNNNNNNNNNNNNNNNNNNNNNNNNNNNNNNNNNNNNNNNNNNNNNNNNNNNNNNNNNNNNNNNNNNNNNNNNNNNNNNNNNNNNNNNNNNNNNNNNNNNNNNNNNNNNNNNNNNNNNNNNNNNNNNNNNNNNNNNNNNNNNNNNNNNNNNNNNNNNNNNNNNNNNNNNNNNNNNNNNNNNNNNNNNNNNNNNNNNNNNNNNNNNNNNNNNNNNNNNNNNNNNNNNNNNNNNNNNNNNNNNNNNNNNNNNNNNNNNNNNNNNNNNNNNNNNNNNNNNNNNNNNNNNNNNNNNNNNNNNNNNNNNNNNNNNNNNNNNNNNNNNNNNNNNNNNNNNNNNNNNNNNNNNNNNNNNNNNNNNNNNNNNNNNNNNNNNNNNNNNNNNNNNNNNNNNNNNNNNNNNNNNNNNNNNNNNNNNNNNNNNNNNNNNNNNNNNNNNNNNNNNNNNNNNNNNNNNNNNNNNNNNNNNNNNNNNNNNNNNNNNNNNNNNNNNNNNNNNNNNNNNNNNNNNNNNNNNNNNNNNNNNNNNNNNNNNNNNNNNNNNNNNNNNNNNNNNNNNNNNNNNNNNNNNNNNNNNNNNNNNNNNNNNNNNNNNNNNNNNNNNNNNNNNNNNNNNNNNNNNNNNNNNNNNNNNNNNNNNNNNNNNNNNNNNNNNNNNNNNNNNNNNNNNNNNNNNNNNNNNNNNNNNNNNNNNNNNNNNNNNNNNNNNNNNNNNNNNNNNNNNNNNNNNNNNNNNNNNNNNNNNNNNNNNNNNNNNNNNNNNNNNNNNNNNNNNNNNNNNNNNNNNNNNNNNNNNNNNNNNNNNNNNNNNNNNNNNNNNNNNNNNNNNNNNNNNNNNNNNNNNNNNNNNNNNNNNNNNNNNNNNNNNNNNNNNNNNNNNNNNNNNNNNNNNNNNNNNNNNNNNNNNNNNNNNNNNNNNNNNNNNNNNNNNNNNNNNNNNNNNNNNNNNNNNNNNNNNNNNNNNNNNNNNNNNNNNNNNNNNNNNNNNNNNNNNNNNNNNNNNNNNNNNNNNNNNNNNNNNNNNNNNNNNNNNNNNNNNNNNNNNNNNNNNNNNNNNNNNNNNNNNNNNNNNNNNNNNNNNNNNNNNNNNNNNNNNNNNNNNNNNNNNNNNNNNNNNNNNNNNNNNNNNNNNNNNNNNNNNNNNNNNNNNNNNNNNNNNNNNNNNNNNNNNNNNNNNNNNNNNNNNNNNNNNNNNNNNNNNNNNNNNNNNNNNNNNNNNNNNNNNNNNNNNNNNNNNNNNNNNNNNNNNNNNNNNNNNNNNNNNNNNNNNNNNNNNNNNNNNNNNNNNNNNNNNNNNNNNNNNNNNNNNNNNNNNNNNNNNNNNNNNNNNNNNNNNNNNNNNNNNNNNNNNNNNNNNNNNNNNNNNNNNNNNNNNNNNNNNNNNNNNNNNNNNNNNNNNNNNNNNNNNNNNNNNNNNNNNNNNNNNNNNNNNNNNNNNNNNNNNNNNNNNNNNNNNNNNNNNNNNNNNNNNNNNNNNNNNNNNNNNNNNNNNNNNNNNNNNNNNNNNNNNNNNNNNNNNNNNNNNNNNNNNNNNNNNNNNNNNNNNNNNNNNNNNNNNNNNNNNNNNUUUCUUUCUUUCUUUUGACCAUAUUACAGUUUUUUUUCAUAAAAUAUAAAAAAAUAAUUUUUAAAUUUAUUUUAAAAAUUAUUUGAAAAAAAUAUUUUUUAAUUAAUUUUUUUCAAAAAAUUAUUAGAUCUAUCAAAAAAAUUAAGCAAUAAAUUAUAUGAUAAAUAAAUUAAAUAAAUUUAAGUAUCAAUUAAUUUAAUUUAGCUUUUAAUUUUAUUAGUAUUUUUAAUCUUCUAAAACAAAAAUAAAAUUUUAUAUUUGAUGUGCCUCAAAAUUUGUUUAUUGAGUUCGAUUUUGUUCCCGUAAUUCACCAAAAAUUUCACAGUGCAACAAAUUUUGAUAAAGUAAUUUAUAAAAAAAGGGGAUGUCUGUGGUGGAAGCGGAGGCUCAGGCCUAUCGGCCCGAGCCCGCAACCUACCACUGACAUCCAAGGGUAGUGCGGCGGGCUUCGCCCCCUACGGUAUGGAUCAAAUAUUUAAAUUACAUAUGUUGAGAAACAAAAAAAUGAAGUAUAAUUUUUUUGACUUACCCAACAAGUAGAUCGAUUUGCAAUGUCUUUGGGAGUGUGGGAUGAUCCCAAAGAACAAAACAAAAGAGAAAACAAGCAAAAAGCAAAAAAAAAACAGUGUGCCGGCACGGCACAGUGCCGUGGCACGGACUUGCAUAUCGCUUUCUCUCGCACAAUGCGCAGGUCCGUGCUACGGCACGGUGGGGGGUCCGAGACCCCCCCGGCUAUGAAGCACGGAUACUUCAAAUUUUAUGUCGUAUCCGUAUCGGAUACGUAUCGGAUACCAAUACGCGCUCGAUACGCGCUCGAUAUGUGUCAGAUACGGGAAUGAAGUAUCUGCCAUUUUUAAAAAAUAAAAAAAUAUCGGAUACGGCUCGGAUACGUGAGGGAUACGGGGGAUACGGGGGGGACACGGCCCGGUUCUUUUUUGGUCUAAAAUGAUUGAAACUUAAAAUUUUUUUAAAAGCUCAAGUCCAAACCUAUUGGAAAAAAAGAAAAGAGUGAGAAAAACACCAAUAUCUGUUCAAUUUGUCAUUUCAUCUAUCCUUUUGUUCUUGAAUGGUAGAAGGCGCUCUUUCUCGUUCUAUCUUCACACAGUAUUUUCUCUCUUCCAUCUAAUUUGUCAACCUAGAAUUAAGCAACAAAGGCUAUAGAAAAUAUGAUUUUUUUUUCCUUCUCUAUUAAAUUGUUAGCAUAUUUUUCUAUUACUAUUUUAAUAAUAGAACUAACAAAUCAGACAUAUAUAUUGAAUGGCUAAUUAUCUAGUUUGUGCGACUAUAUAUUUAUUGUUAUCAUUUGAUCAAGUUGCAUGAUAGUUGGUUUGAUACUUUUUGAAUUAUUAUUUUAUAUGAUUGAUUAUCUUUUUUUAUGAACAUAUGUAGAAUAAUUAAACAAGUUAAUGCAUAUUAGAAUAUGUUCCUUAAUAUAGUCUAGAUAUUCUAAUUGUUCUUAAUAUAUCAUUACAUAUAAUCAACAUACAUUUAAAUAUAUUUAAAAUAAUAUUUUAUUUAAGUAUAUCCCGCGUAUCGUAUCCUAGAAGUUUUAGAAAUUCCCGUAUCACCGUAUCGGUGUCGUGUCGUAUCUGUAUCCCCGUAUCCGUAUCUGUGCAACAUAGCCCCCCUGUACUGUGCCACCUUCUUGGUGGCAUGGUACAUGCCGCCCCAUGCCUUACGACACGGGACGGCACUUUAAACGUUGCUUAGAAGUUCGCAGUUUUCUUUAGUUUUCAGAACAUGCAAAUCACUCUCGUGUUUAGUACCCUUACAGAGCUAAUUUCUAACCCUACAAUCCAGAUAAGGAUUUACAAAGUACCAAACAGAGUUAGCAAAUGGUAGGAUCAUUUUUGGCCGAAUAAGUUUGGACCAACAAGUACUUAUUUCUAAUCUUUGUAAUGUUUCGAUAUAGUGUUCAAAUUUGGAUUAAUAUGCUUACAAACUAUAUUCUCUACCUAGAAAUAAGCUGGAGUUGCUCAGUUUUCUGAUACUGUAAUCUGCUAUUUCUUUAUUCCCUUGAGGAGAGUGCGACUCCUGUCUUCCACAAAUUCAUAUUUAAUUAAUUUCUUUAUUUGCAGAGCAAAGCCGAUGCUUUCGAGUACGCUGACCAAGUAUUGGAGAAAUGGUAUCCCACAGUUGAAGAAGGGAACAAUAAAGGAUUAGUUGUGCUGGUUACUAGUCAGAAAGAAGGUGCAAUCACAGGGGGCCCUGCAUUCCUCCAGGCUGUCGGAGACUCAGUUUUAGACGCUGCAGUAUCUGAGAACCUUCCAGGUUAGCAUUUGUUAUAUUUAUCAUAUUAAAUAACCAAAAUGUAAGUUGAGCUGAGCUGCAAAUUAGGAAAGGAAGCUCAUUCCCUUUAGAUCUGGCACGCACUAAGAAUACUACGUUGAUUCUCAAUUCUAGAAGUGACUUCUAUAAGUCAUCUUUCUCAUAAUACGAUGUAUUUGCUGCUAAUGCCUCUGUUCAUUUUAUUACUUAAAUCAAUGCUGGAAGAAGAUUAUUGCAUGGCAAAUUAAGAACAGCUGUUUUAUUCAUUUCAUGCAAGGACCUUUAGUUCUGAAAGUCAUAGGGUUACUGUUCUUAAUUAUGAUUUCCAGGUGUGUGAUCUUAUAUAUCUGAUCUAUUUUAUUAUACAAGAAGAAAAUAAAUAAUAUGUACAAAUGCAAUGCUAAUCUUUUUGAGAAAAAUGGUUGUUUCAUACGGUGUUAGAAUCGGAAGUCAGUUUUAAUAUUUCUAGGUUAUGGAUGGACAUCCAGUCUGAUUUAAUUUCCUCUCAUUUGCUCUAUAUGCACAUGAUGGCCUUAUAGCCAAAAUCUGCCCAGACUUGAAGGCGAGGAUUAAAUAUUUACUAGUGUAGUCACCCGCGCGAUGCGGCGGAUAGAUAUUAUCGAAACAAUCAUUAUUUCUAUAAAAUAAAAAAUAUUAGUUUAAAUGGGCUGUAAAAAUCGGUAAAAUACUAUUAAAGAUGACAUUUUUAUACUUAUUAACUCAACAAUCUAUAUAAUUAAACUCAAUAUUUCAGUCAAAAAAAUAAUAAAAUUAUAAGUAAGGAUAAAUACAAAAUUUACAAUUGAUUACACAUAACAAUUCAAAUAAAAGGAAUUGUUAAAGUUCAAGCGAGUGUUAAUUGAAAAUUAAAUAAAAUUGAGGGCCUAUUUCAAAUGGGCUAGAGAGGAUCUCUCAGUAAACAUUUGUACCAAUCUUUUUUUAGUAUAAAAAAAAAAAAAGCCAAACAAAGCUAAACCUGCACUUCUCCGGGCCUAAUUAUGCCCUUAUGUCCAGCAAAAUUUUGAUGAGUGAAUGAGCCCUGAAACCCCACAGAAAUAAUUCAGUGAACACCUUAUAAGCAUCUACUGCAAACCAAUCUGAAUUAUAACAGAGAUGUGUAACUUGAGUUACUUCUAGUAUGUAUGUAACAGUAUCAAAUCCUGGAAAAAAAAAAUAUAAUUAAAUACAACAACACCUGAACAGAAGCAAAUACCCUAUAAUAUAAGACCAUCAAUUAUAAGUUGUCAUUUUUCCAAACCAACCUCUAUGAGGGUAAUCAGGAAACCCAGCGGGAGGAGAAACUGCAACAAAACAAAUUGUAAUUCAAGUGAAAAAAAGAAAAAAAAAAACCAACUUAAAAAAGAAGGAACAGUUGAGCAAAAUCAAGCAAAAUUUGGAAGAAUUUAAUGAUAAAAAUUCUAAAUUUUUUAUCCAAAUCGGAAAAAAAAAGGUUUUCACAUCUUUCCGAUAAACCAAAAUACCUUCAAACUCAUUCAGGAGAGGGAAAGGAUCCAAGAUUCUCAGCUCAGGCCUGCAAAUCACAUAAACCCCACCUAAUUAACACCCAAAAUAGAAAAACCAAAAGGUACAUAUAUAAAAAAAAGAAUGAAUUCAUAAAAAAAGUCUCUUUUUGCUUUCGCAAUAAGUAAUCGAUUUAUCUGAAAGUUCAAUCUCAAUCAUUCAAUGAAUUACAAAUUUUUACACGAAUUACCUUUUAAUACUUCUCCUCAUGGUGGCGUCUUGUCUAUAAAAAAAUAAAAAUAAAAAAAAAUAAAAUAAAAUAAAUAAAAUAAAAUGAAAGAAUGAAAUGGUGACUAUGAAAAGUUUAAUAGAUAUUCAAAGUUGGUAGAGUAAUCAAUUAUAAUUAUAAUUGCCAUUAAUUGAUGAAACGUUAAUGUAGAUUACUAUUAAUUCAUGAAACGUUAAUAGAUCAUAUAACGUAGAGGAGAGGGGAGGGAAAAGGGUGGGAAUUAAAGGAGAGAGAAUUAUUAAAAAAAUGAAAGAAUGAAAUGGUGGCUAUGAAAAGUUUAAUAGAUAUUCAAAGUUGGUAGAGUAAUCAGUUAUGAUUAUAAUUGUCAUUAAUUGAUUAAACGUUAAUGUAGAUUACCAUUAAUUCAUGAAACGUUAAUAGAUCAUAUAAUGUAGAGGAGAGGAGAGGGGAAGGGGUGGGAAUUAAAGGGGAGAGAAUUAUUAAAAAAAACUAAAACAAAUUUUUCUAUCUAUUAACUAAAGAAUGAAGGGUUUCUUGCCACGUGGCAAGAAACAUUGUGGAUUCAUUAUGUUUAAUAGAUAGAUAGUUAAGACGCCAUUAUCUACUAGCUUAAGCAAUUAGAUAAAAAAUAAUAAUAAGCUGGUAAAAAUAUAUGGAACUUUUUUGAACUAUGGACCGUUUGGAUUUAGCUACACAAUCUUUCAAAUUUCUUAUUUUAUUACCUAAUCUUUCAAAUUUUUUGAUUUGAGCCAGUCAAAGGCACUUUAACCUCCGUUUAUUUUACAGGUUUAGUUAGUAUAUUUUAUGCAAUUCGCGCAACUAUAAAUUUAUUAAAGUAGUUAGCUUAAAUUUUGAAGUCAAAGUUUCGUUGAUUGACUCAAAUCAAAUAAAUUGAAAGGUUGGGUAGCCAAUCCAAAUGGCCCAUAGUUCAGGUAAGUUUCAUAUAUUUUUACCUACUAACUUCACAAGGAACUGUAGCUAGAUAGCUAUAUACUGUCACGUUGAUUUGUGCACAGUGAAUGCAAGUGCAAGAUAAUAAAAAAUAAAACUUAAGAGCAAGAAAUGCAGUAGAAAGUAUGUCGGCAUGCUUUGAUAUUUUACAAUUUGAUGAAGACAAAGUCACCAGUGGCUGAUCAUGAGAUGCGAAAGUUUGUAUUAGGAAAUGACAAUAUAUCCUGAUUAAACACUAAUUUGGCAAGAGCAUUCUUUGGUACCUCUCUUGUUUAUUCUUUUAUCUGAUAGGGCGGGCAGCUCAUACGAAAGAAGUGCAAACUUUUAUGUGACAGCCCAGAGUUUACAAGUUCACUUUCAAAACGAGUAAUUUAAUUUUGGUUCUUUUAGCUAAACUUUAAUUUUAUUCUUUCUUUCUUCUUAGAGUGAGACACUCUUCUCAUGUGUACAGAGUUAGGUAUGUCAGUAACAUGUAUAGUUCUUAUUGGCAGCUAUAUCUAGGAAUUGGGGCGACCUUGCUAGCGUGCGCGAGGUUUGCAUAGAUAAGUUGGUCGACGGGCAAAAAAGUUAUAUUGUCAUGAAUUUAUCCACAUAACUUCGACUUCGACUUGUAAAUUGUAAAAUAUGUUACCGCAUGCAUCUUCUUGGCUAUAAAAGGCCAUCUCGAAUAGAUUAGGCAUGUGAAAUCAUCAAUUCAUAUCACCCAUAACAGCCGACAGAGAAGAUUGAUUCUGUUCCAGCAUGAUUUCUAUAGUUGUGAAAUGGUUUAGUGUUUAAGCGUGUCGUGGUCUAUAUCCAUGUCCAUGUCCAUGUCCAUGGAACCUAGGCUAGAAGUUAUGAUUUUUGUGUAUAUUUUGAUUUUUUAUGGAUCAUACUGUAUUAUAUCAAAACUGCAAGGCUUCAGUAUUGCUCGCAUUAUGUAGUGAUAAAUAAAUGUACCAGAGGUAUAAGAUACUUCAUCUUCUGUUUCAUGUGUGCAGUGUUAGCCACUGAAGAGAAGUACAAUGAGGCACUGUACAGCACCGCCAAACGCCUGGUUGCGGCAAUCGAUGGGCUCCCAGAUCCCGGCGGACCAAAAUUUCAGGACAACAAGCGCGAAUCCAACUUCAAGAGCAGGGAGGAGACUGAAGAAAAGAGGGGGCAAUUCACCCUUGUUGUCGGUGGUCUUCUAGUGAUUGCAUUUGUCGUGCCGAUGGCUCAGUACUAUGCCUAUGUUUCCAAGAAGUAGGUUGCAAUUGUGUACUCUUCACUGAGAAAUCCUAGUUGCGAGAAACAAUCCAUUCAUGAAUUGAGAAGCACAGAGGUCGCCAAAUUGAUAGCAAAAAUGCAUCAAGUUCCCCAGAUUUUUGUUUUUGUUUUUUUUUUUUUCCCUAAUUUCUCUGCACUAAAAAAGCAUUAUUGUGCGUACAAACUUCGUCCCACGUAAGUGUCAUUGCGCUGUUCUAUCAUAAGCAUGGCUUCAUAAUGUCGUUAAGCCGGUGUAAGGUAAUUCUUCCCCAGCUCCUGUAAUGGCUUUUGAGAGACUGGCACAUGACGCGAGGGGCGUCUGCAUUUGGCUUAAAAUCAUAAUGGCAGAAAAUUACUGUGUACUGCAGCUUAUAUAAUAUUAUUUACAUUCAAUGAUUAGAGAUAAAGAUACAUCAACGUAGCAGGUUCGGUUAGGAAAUUGAGGAAAGAAUGCGACCCGGUCGUUAGAACUUAGGUUUCAACAGAAAAGGCAUCUUGUCAGAGAAUGGAGGAUCGGAGUACUUCCCGGUGAGUAUCUGUGAUGAAACAUGAAAAUUCGCAGCCUCUGUGUAAUGUAUUCCAUCCCAAUUGACAUAUUCUGUGCUAUCGUUGCAUCCUUUUGCUGUCAAACGACUCCCACUGAUAACUUUGGUUUGCCCGCAAGGGAUUCGACUGUCAUAAUUCAGUGCUCCUCCGCCGUACCCACAGCAUGCUGUUAUGGGAUAUUCAAAUCCUGCACAAAAUAUUGACGAAUUAUGUCCCAGUGUCAUGUUUUAACUUUUAACAUGCGCACUAAUGAAUAACAAAUAAUUUUCUUACCAUAUCGAGAAUAAUUUGCAAUCAGAUCAUACUUUAUCGAGUAGAUAUCAACGUAAGUGAUGUUUGCAUCUGUGUAUUGACCCUGCAAUUUUGUACAAAGUGCAUGGAGCUGCAAGUUGAAAAGCUUAGCUGCGCGAUUAUGGGACGCAACACAUCCGAGCUCGUCCAGCUUUGAUGGAUCUUUACCAAAAGCAGCUAUGUUUUGAGGUAAGCACCCGAGGGGAGCAGUAUUAUGAAUCCAGAAUUUCCUUGCGCCGUUAUCAUAUAACUUCUGAAAGAGAGAAUAUUAGGUAAGAGUAGAAAUCCAUGAACUAAUCAACUCAACUAACAGUAAACUGCAUCAGAAUAUAAGUAGACAAAAAUACAAGUAGACAAAGUAACAACACUAAUAAAAGUCAACUUGAAUAGCAAGAAGAGAUUCUACAAAAUGAUUAGCCAACUGCACAAGAAAAUUUGGCUUCUAUUUAACCAAAACACAUAUUACUUUUGUGAAAAAGAAAAUUGAUGCUUUAUUAGUUUAAAAGCUUCAUCAAGAUUUUUUCUCUUUUCCUUUUUUUUUUUUUUCAUUUUUUUCCCUUUUUUUUUCUUUUUACACAUGAUGAAGCAUGCAAUUAAACCUUUAACAGGUUAUUAAGUAAAGGGCAUCCAAAGUGGAAGUCACGAAACCUUGAGUCCAGUCUCGAAUUCCAAUAGAAUUGUUGGAAUAGAGGCAAUAACUUGGUCCUCCUUUUUGUGGUAGAAUGCACCGGCGAGGUCAUUUUGGCCUACAUCGAACAUGUAGAGUCCCUCACCGAAGAAAUCCACAUGAGGAAUAUAUUUCUUGUAUCUGUUCCCUGCAAUGAAGCAAGAAGGAAACCGAAAUUUUAGUUGCACAAUCAUUUGAAUUCAACCAGAAUUUAUAAGCUACAAGCUGCUUGAAGCCUCAGCCAUUGCACGGGAUCUGUUUUUAGUCAUAAAACUUUCCAUGAUAUGUUCGGACAAUUUCAAAAAGUGGCCUUUUUUCGUUUCGUAUCUGUUAUAAAAGUUCACCACAUUCUUACAAUGUACAAAUUCAAAACUGAAAUGUGUGGUACUCGGAUUAGUAGCAUAACAUGUUAUUUCUUUUCUGGAUAGGGACAUGAUGCUGCUAACGCCAUUGAUGCAGCUAAUUUGUACAUGUCUAUUGUUAACUCGUUAAAACAGUAGAAGAUAGUAAAGGCGAUUUUAAGUCAAAAAAGCAGAAGUCCAAAGAAUACAUGACACAGGUUUUUGGCCAUCCGUUCCGAAGCACGCAACGCAAGGAAGGCAGACACGUGGGUGGGCCGUGACUUCAGCCCUUUGAGCUUGGUGAAAAUGACAGAUUCCAGCUUCUCGCGACUAAGUCGCCGAACUCAGAUAAUUAUACUAAAUUUGAAUCGCAAUGUGCAAUGAAAUGAAUGCUACAAUCCCAAUAGAACUAACCCCACUCAAUCCUGCUAUUGAAAAUCCAGCGCAGCAGAAUUCACUGAAUUGCCCCAUUACCACAAUACCCUUAAUUAGCUAUUGAGCUAGAUAUGUCUUAACCCCAGAAAACUUUUCUAUCCAGUUUUAGAGAUAUCGACAAGAGUUCCCCACAUCCAACUAACAUUUAUAGGGUUACUUGCACUAUUGGUCCCUAACUUUUACCUAUUUUUAUUUUGGUCCAUAACGCUUUUUUUUGGCUAUUAGAUCCGUAACUCUUAUAAUCUGUUUCAGUUAGGUUCUAACCAUCAUAAUUCUUGUUACUUUUUGACACAUCAAACCCGAUAAAGCCCUGUCUACUCUUGUAGAUCAUUGUCAUGGUCCAAUAGCCCCCGGUCAAGGUUUUAAGUGCCCGUCGGCAUGGGCCGUAUCCACCUUGCCGUACCGUGCCAACAAGAUACCGACACGAUACAGACCCCGUGCCGAUGGCACAGCUCAAAACUCUCUAUUCUUUAAAUUAGUAAGUAAUUUCCUCAAUAAAGUUCAAAAGAUGUGAUAAAAAGAUAUAAUAAAUAGUUAGAAUAUUUUGUUGCUAAAGAAAAUAAAUAUUUCGUGCUAUUAUAUGUCGGCACACAAGAAUUUUUUUGACCGACACGCAUUGGCACGACUCGGCACCGCCGUACCGUGCCGGCAAGUUUCUUGCACAACCCCGUGCCAUGGCACUUAAAUCCUUGCCCCCGGUAAGUCUCGGCACUGAUUGUUCAAGCUUCUAGAAAAGUUUGGUGGCACUCCCUGCUCAACAUCAAGGAUGCCAAAUACUCCAAAAGUGGUAGUAGACAUCGUAUGCAUCAUAGUAACAUUCUUUGAUAUCCCAUAUCUAGUUUCAGCUUUAGCCUAGAAAGGUAGCUUAGUUUGUCGCAUAAAUUAUUCGCCUAUUUUUAUUCUGAUCUACAAACAUAGCUUAGUUUUAGUUAAACAACUUUAGCCUGAAAAAUCGUCACACAAGCAUAUUUUUGACAUGCAACAUAGGUAACAUGCAUGAAAAAUUGUGGUUCUAGAUUCCUAAAUACGGGACAAUUUAGACAACGUUAAAAUGGGAUAGCAAAAAGUUCUAUUUUUCACCCUCAGCACUUUCAAAAGUAUUAUACCUAAUACAAACAACUUCACAACUUAUAAGACCACUAAAUUUUGCGUACUAGAGUAUAAUCUCUUUUGCUUACAGUAAGUUAGAUUCUAAAAUUAGCUUGGCAAGAGCAAUAUACAUACCUUUAGCUAGCAAUUCAAGAACUCGAUCCUUGAACCGAAGAAACUGAGCAAUCUGAAGACCAAAGCCAAAUGGGCUGACAGAUGAUGCUGUUGCAGGAAGUAUGGUAGAACCAGCCACAGCAAAGUUUGAACCUUUUCGAAAACUAGGUGCACCAACAGAAUCUAAAUAUGCAUUAAGGAACGGCAUAUCCAUGGCAUCCACUGCACAAAACAAUUACAAUUUCGAUCAAUAUAAUGCACUUUCCAGCAUUCUAGCAUCAUGUACAAGAAUCUAAGCACAAAAAAUGUAAACUGCAAAUAGGCGGCCAAUAUAUCCUUACAAAGACAAUCUCCAAACAAGGACAUGGCAACAGUGCUCCGCUCCUAUGUGGCAACACUAAAAAAUUACCUUUUUCUCUGUGACUGAGUGGGUACUCCACUAUAGCAAGUAGCGGUGAUAGCGAAACAUGCCCUAUGCUAUUUGUACAUGAGCAAGAAGCACAAUAGUUAAUACAAAAAAUUGUUCUCAACUGUUUAUGUGAAAAAGGUACACUUGUGAAGGGGCCAAUUAGCAUCCUUUAGGUUCUUUGUUUUUGCCUCGCUUGUUUCUCUUUGUGGUUGAGAGCACUUAAGGAUUGACUUCUUUAAAUUCUUACCGUUGGUUUCAAGAAUUAUAGUGUCAUGGCACGGAGGCGUGCCAGUUGUCGCCCGGCACAGUACGGCACAGGCACGCCUCCGUGCCGACACCAAGCAUGCUGAUAGAUACGCAUAACCUCCUAGCAGCACGUUUUGGCACAAUUUUUUUUAGAUUUUUUUGUUCUCAAUAAACUCUUAUAAUGCUAUUUUGAAAGAUUUCGAAAAAUAAUUAUAAAUAUUGGCUAUGUAUAACUUAUUGCACUCAAUAAUUAAUAUACUAGUAGAUAUUUUAUACAUGUACAACAAAUAUAAUUAUAGCUCGUAGAAAAUAAUUAAUUUUGAAAAUUUUCUGAUUUUAGCUUUUUUCGGAAAUUUAAAAAUAAUAAAAUAUAAAAUUAAAGAAAAUUAUUUUUUUCUUAAAGUUUUUAUGGAAUUUGCAAUAUUCAAUAAUAUUGAUUCAAUAAGAGACCGCAUGAUAACUAGAUUAACUAGAAUAGAACUACAAUUGUUCCAAUAAUUUUUUUAAUUUUGAAUCUAUUAAAAACAUUUAUUAAAAUUUUGAAAAAAGAUUUUUUUUAUUAAAAUUUUUAAGAAAAAUUAUGAGAUCUAUCCAUAAAAAUUUAAUAAUAAAUCAUAUGUUGAAUAAUUAAGCAAAUUCAAAUAUUAAUUGCUUUAAUUUUUUUAUUUUAUUAGUAUUUUCCACCUUCUAAAUCCAAAAAUAGAAUUCUCAAAGUAAAAAACAAAAAUUGUCGUAAAUCUCAUGCCCAUUGCUAGAUUUAUCCAAAAUAAUUACAAAUCGAACUACAUGAUAACUUAAUCAAGUAGAUCUAUUUUUAAAAUUUUGUAAACUAUAAAUAAAAAUUUGCAUAAUUUUAAAUUUCUCCAAAAUAGGAACUUCACAAGUUACAAAUAUUCAAAAUGUAUGAACAAAUUUAAAAUUGUAUAUUUUUUAUUUAUCUAACAAGUACAUCUUUGACUUGCUAUUUCUUUGCCUUUUCGAAGUGAUCAAAGUGAAAAAAAAAAGUAGAAAUAGAAGAAAUUGAAAAAAGAAAUUAGAGAAAAAAUUACAAAGGGAAAAGGGAGGAAAAAUAGAAAAAAAAAAAGAGAGAGAAAGAGAUAGUAAGAAGAAAAGAAAAGACUAAAAGAGCGAGUUGAGGGGAAGAAAAAGUAUAAGAGAAUGGGAAAGAGGGAUGUGUGUAGGACACAAAAAAAUCCAAAAUUAGGCACAAAGUACUAAAAAAAAAAAAAAAAAAAACUUAAAACACUGCGUGCCCAUAUAGGCACGCAGCGGCACUGUACUGCGAUACCCUUUGGUAUCAUGCCGUCUAGCACGAUACUCUUUGGGUAUCACGACACGGGGGAUCUAAGAGAGAUCCCCCCUGUAUUAUGCCCCUUAAUUGCUGGCACGAUACGUAUCGCUCCGUGCUGACUGGCACGGUGGAUACUUUAAACCUUAGUAUCUGUAAACUCCCCCACCCUCCCCAAAACAAAGAACACUUGCUAUUAUCGUUCUAUUUUUCUUUUUAUUCCUUUUUAUUCCUCAUGAAAAACCAUUAUUUACUAUUUGCAAAUAGUUACGAAGUAAUAAACCUCAUUUCUAAGAGCUUAUAACCUCAAAAAUUUUAAGGAAAAACAUAACCUAAAAACAUAGACGAAAUGGUAAUUAGCUAUCAUAAUGGCUUAUUGGCCUAAUGAUGCAGGUAUUCUACUGCUUCUAGAAAAUGGUUACAAUACAACCCAACAUAUUGUCAACAUUAAAUAGUCUGAAAACAGCUUAACCAAAAUAGUACAACAGAAAUUAUUCCGCAUCAACUUGGUAUCAAAUCCUAAAGAUUCCUUACUAAAGUAACAACAAACUGUUGAUUUUGAGAAAAACUAAAACGGUCUUCGUCUCUCCAUCUAACCACCUAAGAGAUAGGACCAGCAAAUAGGCUUAUCAUCAUUAAGACAUCAAUUCAAAGAGUUGAGGAGCAUAUAUUGGUAACAGAUUGCAUAAAAAUGUCAUUUCAGCAGCAACUGAUCUCCUAACUAACACUCAUGCAAAGGAAGACAUCUCAAUUCCCACUUAAAAAGGCGCACCAACAGAAUUCCAUCAAGGCAUCGUUUGGGAAUAUAUUACUCAAACACACAUCAUGGGUCUAAAAAUCCAGAAGCACUUUGGAGCUCACUUUCUCGGAUGCUUUGAAGUGGUGGUUUGUGUGGCAAUCCCUACCAUCAUUUUAUAGCAUUGGGUGAGGAGGCUACAAAAUAUUUUCCAAAUUGCUUUUGAAUUUCCAGACGCAAUGGAGAGUGCAUUUGGGCAAUCGAUUCCCAAACUAUGUCCAAGGCCUAUGUUUGGAUGCAUGAGCAUCUUUUGCAAUUUAUCCCUUUGAUUUACCUCAGAAGCAUGUAGUAUUUGGUAGAUAAGUAGCAGGUCAAAUGUACUAAAAUGAAUAUCAUAUUCGACUUUCAUGUCAAUGUUUUGGAAUAACAUAAGGCACCUCGUAGGUGGAAUACGCUAUCCUACUAAAUCAUAGAUGUCAAGAUCUUUUGAGAAAAGAAAAUUCAAACUCCUAGCUUUCAAUUAUACAAGAAUAGUUAUUAUUGGAUAUCUUAUUUGGACAUCUAAAGAGGGACUCAAUCUAUUUUCUUCUGCUAAACACACUAGCUAUGUGUAUAUAUAUAUAUAUAUAUAUAUAUAUAUAUAUAUAUAUUCAAUAACAUCCUUGAAGCAAGCUCCUCUUACGUCCCAACAAAAUAUAAAUAAAAAGAAUAAAAAAAAAUUUUAAAAAAUAGCUUAGCAGGCAGAGAGUGCCCAUCACUCAAUUGCAACCAAUAUCAACCAAUAGUUCAAUUUAUAGCCGAAAGAAAAAAAAUAAAAAUAAAAAUGUAAAGGUCGUUGGGCAAAUGAAUAAAUAUGCAGUUAAUAGAUAAGGUUAAAGAUCUCGGCGGGUAGGACGAGAGAGAGAAAGUGAGAGAGGAAUGAAUUACAGAGGAAAUCGAUGAUAAGCCGGCCAUCGCAGAAGCGGCCGGCGGGUCUGCGGAAGUAGGUCUGCCCGUACGGGGGGCCGAUGCUCUCGAGGCCGGCGGCAAUGCGGGCGCCGGUGUCGGAGUUGGAGUCGCCGAAGUUGAAGACGGCCGGGCAAUUAAAAUCUACGGCGGCCAUAGCCACGCAGGCCGUGUGCAGAAAGAGGACGACGAUGACGAUGAUGAUGAUGAUGAUGUGGGAGGAGGCGAGGCGGCGAGCAGGCCGAGAACGUGCUGCCAUCGGAGCCGCCCGUUGCUCUUUGCGAGCUCUCUGUGCUAUUUGAAAGUAUGUAAUCACUUAUUUGGAAUACCUGAGAACGGGCGGUGGUAAAAUGAUUGUGGCCUUGCGGGAGGCCGGGAUUUUCUAUAAAGCAACAACAAGAAUGACGGGAGAGGCUGUUGGUGGCAAGAGACUAAUAAGAGAGCCCCCAAGAGCUGCAGCGCCUGGUUUUAUUAUUUUGUAAGUCACUUCUAACACGCUUAGAAAAGACGCAGAAGCAAUGUUGUCCGUAUUUUCUUAAAUUUGGUACACAUUUUAUACUACAUUUAUUCGAUAGUUCUUAUUCUCUGGUUAUUAUAUUAUUAAUUUUUUUUAGGAAAAACUUCAAAAACCUCCUUUAUGGUUUCAAUUUUUUUCACCUUAAUACCCUGUGGUUUAAAAUGUAUCAAGUUAGUACCCUGUGGUUUCUCACUUUAUCACUUUAGUACCCUGUGGUUUUAAUUUGUAUCAAGUUAGUACCCUGUGGUUUUUUAAAUCACAGGGUACUAAAGUGAUAAAGUGUGAAACCACAUGGUACUAAAGUGAUAAAGUGCAAAACCACAGGGUACUAACUUGAUACACUUUAAACCACAGGGUACUAAAGUGAUAAAAUGAGAAACCACAUGGUACUAACUUGAUAAACUUUAAACCACAGGGUACUAAAAUGAAAAAGUGUGAAACCACAGGGAGGGUUUUUGAAGUUUUCCUUUUUUUUUAACUAUAAGUUUCAAAGUUUCGGCAAACGGUAGAAUAUAUCAAGUGUAAGACUAAAAGGGAUGUAAAAAAAAAAAAAAAAAAUCCAUCCAAGUAUAUUUAUCGCUUUGAAGAAAAGAUAUUAAAUAUAGGCAUUCUUAUGUCAAAAUUUGUUAUGACAAUGCAGAAACUAAUAACUAAUAAGUAUAAAGUUUGAUAUAAUAAUUUAUACUCUUAUUUUUCUAAAGCAACAAAAAAUUGUGUGAAGUACAAAAUUUUGAUGAAAUAUGUUGAUGAAGUAAUAAGAAAAUUUAUGAAUGAUUUCGAUUGGCAUGCAUAGCAAUUAUAAAUACUAAUAUAGAGCGGCCCACGCUUCGCGGCGGGUAUGUGAUAUUUCAGUAAUUUAAAAUAUAUGGUUAUUAAAAUUUUAAGCUUACAAAAAUUAUGUUGAGAAAUUAGAUUGCAAAUUGUAAUGAUGUGUAUUUGAUAAAUUACUUUGUGAAAUUUAUGUGUUGAACGAAUGGAUUCCUUUGUAGGGACAUGUCUGUUCAAACAGACAUGACUCUUCGAUUAUGUCUAUUCAAACAAGAUAUGACUUACCUUUUGAAAAAAAACAUAUAAAUAGAGGCUCUUGUGCCAAAAUUCAUAUCACCAAAAGUUUCCAGAUUUCAGAGUUAAGAGCGUGAGAGAUUCCGAGUUUUGCUUCUUGAGUAUCUCUAGCCUCGUUCUAUCCCGAGAGUUCUUUGUCAUAACCCGAAGCAAACUUUGUUUGGGGGCAAAUCUACUCUUUGGAAAGUGCUGAACCCGUGACUCGAGACUUUCCCCAUGUACGAGUAUUUGCUCGUGUUUAUUUCUUGAAGUGUUCGUGGCUGGUGUUCGAGUUCGAUAAUCGUCUCUUUCGGUUGUCAUCCCCUACCGUCCCUUUCAAUCAAAGAGUAGAUUACUUUCUUUUCGAGAUGGCUUCGGAGGUGACGUCCGUGUACAAAGUUAUCAACCAAGACUUUGUGAAAAUUGAUCGUUUUGAUGGGACAAAUUUCAACCAUUGGAAGGACAAGAUGCUCUUCCUUCUCACUGUGCUUAAUGUGGCGUAUGUGUUGGAUCCUGAUGACAAUUCUGUGGAGAAUACAACCGAUGAUGCUACUCCCGAGGAAAUAGCAAAAGUAGCGGAACUGAAGAAGAAAAGAGAGGAAGAUGAGUUCAUAUGUCGAGGCCACAUCCUCAACACACUCUCCGAUCGACUGUAUGAUCUCUACAUGUCGAUCAAGUCUCCGAUCGAGCUAUGGAAGGCACUUGAAGAGAAAUACAACACUGAGCGACAAGGUACCGACAAGUUUCUUAUGAUGAAGUACUUCGAAUUUAAGUUCCUUGAUUCCUAUCCUCUCAUGGACCAAGUCCAUGAGUUGCAAGUGCUCGUGCAGAGACUUCGUGAUCUCAAAGUCAUUAUUCCCAAGGCAUUACAAGUGGGGGCGAUUAUUUCGAAAUUACCCUCCACUUGGAACGAGUAUUGGAAAAAGCUUCGUCAUAUGGCCGAAGACUUUUCUAUGGAGAAAAUUCUUAGACAUCUUCGCAUUGAGGAAGAGACUCGAAAGCGAGAUGCGGUGAAUUUUUCUCAAAGUUCUAAAGUGAAUAAUAUGGAGUCCAAGACCUCUCGGAAAGGCAAGAGAAAGGCUUCGUUUGAAACCGAAGAACAACAAGACAAUAAUAAGAAGAAGCGUACAUGCUUCCAUUGUCAUAAGAAAGGGCACUACAUUAAAGAUUGCCGAAUUCUCAAGAAAGAGAAUUAACUAAAGGAAUCCACCGCUCAAAAGGCCAAUGUGGUUGAGGAGAAGGACUUAGUGGCCAUGGUGACAGAUUCUUUUCAGUCCAUGGAGAUUGGUAUGAUCACCGAACUGAACAUGGCAACUACCGAGAAAUCGUGUAAUUGGUGGCUAGACUCUGGUGCUACAGUCCAUGUGUGCAAUGACCGGCUACAAUUUAAAGGCUACGAGGAGGUGGCAAAUCGAGAGGUGCUUAUGAGCAACAACCAAUUGGUCAAAGUGCACGGUCGAUCAAUGUCACGCCCCGAGCCCGAUCCUUUUGACCGGUUCGAGUGCGUCGAACAGACGCCGAACGGACAGAGCCUCCCCUGUCCGCCCAAGGCUCCACAAUAUGUAUCAAUAGAGUAAAAAUUGCAUAAGCGGAAGCAUACGCAAUGGCUUGCACGAGGGCAAGCAAUAGCCAAUAGUGAAAGUAAUAAACUACACUUAGGAAAUCAAUUACAAUUUUGCAUCAUUUCUUCUCUUUUACAUCGCAUGAUCUCAAAUAUAAAUUCUUGCAUUUAAACAUAAACUCUUUUUACAUCAUUUAUUUAACAUGUUCAUAAUAGUAUAAUCAUCAAGAUACAAAAGAUGAUGUAUAAGUAGAGGGUAUGCGACUACAAAAUGAUAACCACUCGGGAGGUCUCUAACUAGGGCGCUAUGCCCUUACCGCGAUCGUCAGUCGGCUCGCUCGGUCAUGGCUCUAUGAAAAUAGGGGUGUGAGAACUACAACAAAGUUUUCAGUGGGUUCGGCAACCAACCACGCCGACUAUCCCACUAGGUCUAAUCAGGCAUAAUAGAAUAGAGGAAAGAAAGUAACUAACUAACAAAUGCAACUAAUAUGCCUGAACAAUAUAAAAUGCGAUGCUCGAUGUAAUGCUCAUGAUGAAUGUAGGAUCACAAUUUCUUUAUCCAAUCUCUUGGCUAACCCGUAGGUUUCGCCCUCAACAAACUCACCAAUCCAAAAUCCGAAUAACUGGGGAGAUAUCCGCUACAACCCGAUAAGACCGUCUUCUGGGGAGAUACCCACUACAAUUCAGUGAUGUCAACUCCGGAGCACAUCGCCCGAGGGGGAGCUACCACCCUCGAGCAAUUACUAAAGGUGAGUACGAUCAAUCCUACAUUGAGGAUUCCAAGUUCAAUCCAUUCCUUAACUUUAAGGAAGACCAUACUCAAAUGACCAUUAACUCUAAGGUUGAAAUGUCAUAAUGUCUCAAUCAUUCUUUUUUUUGCAUUCUUUACUAUCACUAGUAUCAUAUACACUACUAAAUUCUUGUACUCAUGCCACACUUGUGUUUCUAAGUGCUAUGUUCUUGUUCUCAUGCCAAAUGCCACACUUGUUUUCUAAGUAUUCUAGACUCAUCAAUGCCACUUGUUAGAUCUAUGUCAUGGUGUCACUUUUGUUUACUAAUCCUUCUAGGUUCUUGUCACAUUCAUGCAUACAUAGGGAUUAUCAUUCUCACAUUCUUACAAGUAUUUAACAUGCAUUUGAAUUUACAUCAUGCUAUAAAAAGUUCACAAUUUAAUCCUAUUAUGCAAAAUGCUCAAAUAUGUACAUAUGCUCAAAACAUGACACUUAGACAUAAAGGAAUUUUCGAGGUCCUUGGAAUGCACCACCCACCUGGUGAGCUAUAAGAAAGCGAUCUCGAUAAUCUCCAAGCUCUAUCGAACACCGAAUUCGCAUCCUAUAACCAAGAAAGUGCCCAAAUUAGGCCCUGUACACAUGAACCGUACUUAGACAUUUUCGUUUCGACAAACGGGCUUGUCCAACAUGUCGGGAAUACCCCCAAUUAGAUUUCUACGGGGUCAAUUCGCCCCCGAAAAAUCCUAGGGCAAAAGCCCCAAAUUUGGUGCCCUAACGAAACCCAUUGCUAAACCCUAGGUUUUGAUCUCUAAAACAAGCAAAAGAAAGCUUGUCUAACCUCUGGAAGCUCAUUUAGAACCAUCCCAACCAUCUCUAGGGCUUAGAAUGCAAACCCUAGAAAUCCUCCAUUAGAGCACCGUGAAGAAAACUAGGGUUUCAUGGUGUUCAUGGCUCUAACAUGCUUCUAAAACCUCUAAGAAGCUCAAAACUCCAAAACUUAGGGUUUAAAUCCUAACCCUAGAAGAUAUCUUGCAAAAACUUACCUCUAGUCCCAAGCUCUACCAAGGCCUUCUUGUAGAAGAGCUUCUAGUUCUUCAAAUCCUCCUGAAAUCCCUUCUCCAAGCUCCUUCUCCUUCUUCUCCUUGCUCUAGGGCAACCUUCUAGAGAUAGAAAGAGGAAAAAAUGAGAGAGAGAGGUGUGUGUGUGUGUGUUUGCUGUGAAAAGGGGAGAGGAUUGGUAUAUUUUACAUGUUGCUAUAAUAGCAACUAGGCCCCUCAACUUUCUAUUCUGCAGCAGACCAACCGUUGCUGCCAGAGCCACGGCGUACCGGUACACGGGCUCCCGUACCGGUACGAGGCCGCGCAAAUGCCAACCCGAGAGCAGAGUCCUCUCGAGUGCGCAGGGUUUGUACCGGUAAACGGGGUCUCGUACCGGUACACCACCCAAACUGCCCAGACCCGAGUGCAGCUAGUGCUUGGGUCGCUUGCUGUACCGGUACAACCACCAUAGUGUACUGGUACACAAUGCUCCAGAGUGCUGUUUUGGUUUCGACUCGACUCUAUUUCGCGCCGUUCGAUGCCUAAACCAUUCCAACACUUCUUAAACUCAUUUUUACCCUUCCAACCUUAUUGGAAUGCAAAAUGGAACUUGUCCAACCAUUUGUCUCGGCGCUUUAACCAAUUUGGUUAAAGUUUGAUAAUCGCUAUUGAGGUUUCGAUACGUUACAUUCUCCACCCCUUAAAAUUAGUUUCGUCCGCGAAACUUACUUAAUUUAGACUUAAACUCAUAUCUCAAUUCAGCUCGUUAAAGAGGUGAGGAUAAUGCUCCCGUAUUGCGCUCUCGAGCUCCCAAGUAGCUUUCCGAUCAUCGUGAUUGCACCAACGAAUCUUAACAUACGGAAUCUCGGAUUUCGUAGUUUUCGAUCGAUGAUGUAUGCCGGGAACUCCUCAUAGGUUAUGUGUCACGCCCCGGGACCCAGCGGAAGCCCGCCCGGCGCGUGUCCAGACCCGCCAUAUGUCUACAACAUAUAAGGCGUCUAAAAACAACGAUAAUAAAAGCAAUAAUAAAAGACAUCCAGGAAUAUCAGAGCAUAGUAAAUGUCUAAUAGCUACAACAAGAGAUAUGGAUAAAACUGUAAAACCACUAAAUAAAACAUAAAGCGANUGGCCGGUUCGAAUGCGUCGAACAGACGCCGAACGGACAGAGCCUUCCCUGUCCGCCCAAGGCUCCACAGCAUAUAUCAAUAGAGUAAAAAUUGCAUAAGCGGAAACAUACGCAAUGACUUGCACGAGGGCAAGCAAUAGCCAAUAGUGAAAAUAAUAAACUACACUUAGGAAAUCAAUUACAAUUUUGCAUCAUUUCUUCUCUUUUACAUCGCAUGAUCUCAAAUAUAAAUUCUUGCAUUUAAACAUAAACUCUUUUUACAUUAUUCAUUUAACAUGUUCAUAAUAGUAUAAUCAUCAAGAUACAAAAGAUGAUGUAUAAGUAGAGGGUAUGCGACUACAAAAUGAUAACCACUCGGGAGGUCUCUAACUAGGGCGCGAUGCCCUUACCGCGAUCGUCAGCCGGCUCGCUCGGUCCCCGCUCUAUGGAACUAGGGGUGUGAGAACUACAACAAAGUUUUCAGUGGGUUCGGCAACCAACCACGCCGACUAUCCCACUAGGGUUAAUCAGGCAUAAUAGAAUAGGGGAAAGAAAGUAACUAACUAACAAAUGCAACUAAUAUGUUUGAACAAUGUAAAAUACGAUGCUCGAUAUAAUGCUCAUGAUGAAUGCAGAAUCAUAAUUUCUUUACCCAAUCUCUUGGCUAACCCGUAGGUUUCACCCUCAACAAACUCACCGACCCAAAAUCCUAACAACCGGGGAGAUACCCGCUACAACCCGAUAGGACUGUCCUCUGGGGAGAUACCUACUACAAUCCAGUGAUGUCAAUUCCGGAGCACAUCGCCCGAAGGGGAGCUACCAUCCUCGAGCAAGGACUAAAAUUGAGUACGAUUAAUCCUACAUUGAGGAUUCCAAGUUCAAUCUAUUCCUUAACUUUAAGGAAGACCAUGCUCAAAUGACCCUUAACUCUAAGGUUGAAAUGUCAUAAUGUCUCAAUCAUUCUUUUCUUUACAUUCUUUACUAUCACUAGUGUCAUAUACACUAAUAAGUUCUUGUACUCAUGCCACACUUGUUUUCUAAGUGCUAUGUUCUUGUUCUCAUGCCAAAUGCCACACUUAUUUUUUAAGUGUUCUAAACUCAUCAAUGCCACUCGUUAGAUCUAUGUCAUGGUGUCACUUUUGUUUACUAACCCUUCUAGGUUCUUGUCACAUUCAUGCAUACAUAGGGAUUAUCAUUCUCACAUUCUUACAAGUAUUUAACAUGCAUUUGAAUUUACAUCAUGCUAUAAAAAGUUCACAAUUUAACCCUAUUAUGCAAAAUGCUCAAAUAUGUACAUAUGCUCAAAACAUAACACUUAGACAUAAAGGGAUUUCCGAGGUCCUUGGAAUGCACCACCCACCUGGUGAGGUAUAAGAAAGCGAUCUCGAGAAUCUCCAAGCUCUAUCGAACACCGAAUUCGCGUCCUAUAACCAAGAAAGUGCCCAGAUUAGGCUCUUUACACAUGAACCAUACUUAGACAUUUUCGUUUUGACGAACGGGCUUGUCCAACGCGUCGGGAAUACCCCCAAUUAGGUUUCUACGGGGUCAAUUCGCCCCCAAAAAAUCCUAGGGCAAAAGUUCCAAAUUUGGUGCCCUAACCAAACCCAUUGCUAAACCCUAGGUUUUGAUCUCUAAAACAAGCAUAAGAGAACUUGUCUAACCUCUGGAAGCUCAUUUAGAACCAUCCCAACCAUCUCUAGGGCUUAGAAUGCAAACCCUAGAAAUCCCCCAUUAGAGCACCAUGAAGAAAACUAGGGUUUCAUGGUGUUCAUGGCUCUAACAUGCUUCUAAAACCUCUAAGAAGCUCAAACUCCAAAACUUAGGCUCCGUUUGGAUCGGGAAUUAGUAGGAACUAGUUAUACCGGGAAUAGGUACAAGUAUGAGUUUUUGUAGGAAUAAGGAUAUUUUUUUGUUUGGAUGAAAUUGUGAGUAUAAGCUGGAACUAGAAAAAUUGUGUUUGGAUGGUUUUUGAGAAUAAGAGGAAUAGUUGGUAGUUAUAAAUAGAAAAUAAUAAUAUUAUCCCUAUAAUUGAAUUUUAAACUUAUAAUUUUAAAUUUUAAAUUUUAACUUUUAAAUUUAAAUUAGAAAUUAAAAUUUUAAAUUUUAAUAUUAAAAAUAUUAAUUUUAAAUAUCAAAUUUUAAAUUUCAGACCAAAUUUAAAUUUCAAAGAUAUAAAAUAACAAAUUUAAAAUUUAAACUUUAAUAAAAUUUAAAAUUUGAAAACUUAAAAAUAUCAAAUUUAAAAUAUCAAAUUUAAAAUUUAAACUUUAAUAAAAUUUAAAAUUUGAAAACUUAAAAAUAUCAAAUUUAAAAUAUCAAAUUUAAAAUUUAAACUUUAAUUAAAUUUAAAAUUUUAAUUUUUAAAAUUUUAAUUUUAAAUAUCUAAUUUUAAAUUUAGGACCAAAUUUAAAUUUGAAAGAUAUAAAAUAUCAAAUUUAAAAUUUAAACUUUAAUAAAAUUUAAAAUUUGAAAACGUAAAAAUAUCAAAUUUAAAAUUUAAAAUUUUAAAAUAUCAAAUUUAAAAUUUAAAAUUGUAAUUUAUUAAUUAUAAUUAUAAAAUUAUAAAUUUUAAAAAUCUCUCUCUCUUUCUCUCUCUCUCUCUCUCUCUCUCUCUCUACUCAAGUGGGUUGGAACAAGCUUGGGAACAAGCUUGUUCCAACCCCGGGUGGGAACAAGUGUUCCCACCAUAACGGGUUGUACCUGGUACAACCCGUUAUGGUCGGAACACUUGUUCCCACCAUUUUUUUUUUUGUUUGGGUAUAAAGGGGGGGAUAUCCCCCUUAUCCCCCCCUUUAUACCCGAGCCAAACGGAGUGUUAGGGUUUAAAUCCUAACCCUAGAAGAUAUCUUGCAAAAACUUACCUCUAGUCCCAAGCUCUACCAAGGCCUUCUUGUAGGAGAGCUUCUAGUUCGUCAAAUCCUCCCGAAAUCCCUUCUCCAACUCCUUCUCCUUCUUCUCCUUGCUCUAGGGCAACCUUCUAGAGAGAAAAAGGAAGAAAUGAAAGAAAGAGGUGUGUGUGUGUUUGCUUUGAAGAGGGGAGAGGAUUGGUAUAUUUUACAUGUUGCUACAAUAGCAACUAGGCCCCUCAACUUUCUAUUUUGCAGCAGACCAACCCUUGCUGCCAGAGCCAUGGUGUACCGGUACAUGGGCUCCCGUACCGGUACAAGGCCACGCAGAUGCCAACCCGAGAGCAGACUCCUCUCGAGUGCGCAGGGUUUGUACCGGUACACGGGGUCCCGUACCGGUACGCCACCUAGACUGCCCAGACCCGAGAGCAGCUAGUGCUCGGGUCGCUUGCUGUACCGGUACAACCACCAUGGUGUACCGGUACACAAUGCUUCAGAGUGCUGUUUUGGUUUCGACUCGACUCUAUUUCGCGUCGUUCGAUACCAAAAUCAUUCCAACACUUCUUAAACUCAUUUUUGCCCUUCCAACCUUGUUGGAAUGCAAAAUGGAACUUGUCCAACCAUUUGUCUCGGCGCUUUAACCAAUUUGGUUAAAGUUUGAUAAUCGCUAUUGAGGUUUCGAUACGUUACAUUCUCCACCCCUUAAAAUUAGUUUCGUCCGUGAAACUUACUUAAUUUAGACUUAAACUCAUACUUCAAUUCAGCUCGUUAAAGAGGUGAGGAUAAUGCUCCCACAUUGCGCUCUCGAGCUCCCAAGUAGCUUCCCGAUCAUCGUGAUUGCACCAACGAAUCUUAAUAUACGGAAUCUCGCGAUUUCGUAGUUUUCUUACUUUUCGAUCGAUGAUGUAUGCUGGGAACUCCUCAUAGGUCAUGUCCUCUUGAAUCUCGGACGGUUCGAACGAGAGGACAUGAUCGGGGUCGUGAACAUACUUGCGGAGAUUCGAUACAUGAAAUACAUCGUGCACUCCCACAAGCCUCGGUGAUAAUGCUAUCUUGUAGACCACCGCACCAACGCAUUCCAAUAUCUCGAACGGUCCAAGAUACCGGGGACUUAGUUUCCCACGGACUCCAAACCGUUUAAUUUCUCGCAUCGGCGAUAUCUUUAAGAACACGUGGUCUCCAACGGCAAACCCUAUGUCUUUCCUCCGUCUGUCGGCAUAGCUCUUCUGCUGAAACUGCCCCGUAGCAAGUCGUUGGCGGGCUAGGCGAAUUUUCUCCUCCGCCUCCCGCACUACAUCCGGGCCAAGAGCAGCUCUCUCGCCCACAUCGCUCCAAUGAAUUGGGGAGCAACACUUCUUUCCAUAAAGGGCCUCGAAUGACGCCAUUGCGAUACUUUCUUGAUAGCUGUUAUUGUACGCGAACUCCGCCAGUGGUAGAUGAUCGUGCUAACUGCCCUUGUAGUCCAGUACACACGCUCGGAGCAUAUCCUCAAGUAUUUGUAUCGUCCUUUCCGAUUGACCAUCACUCUGAGAAUGAAAUGCCGUGCUAAAAUCGAGCCGUGUGCCCAAAGCCUCUUGUAGGCUCCUCCAAAAAUGAGAUGUGAAUCUCGGGCCCCGAUCCGAUACAAUUGACACCGGAACCCUGUAAAGCCUCACAACCUCGUCAAUAUAAACCUGAGCCAACUUGUCCCCCGACUAUGUAAUAUGAAUCGGUAGGAAAUGUGCCGACUUCGUCAACCGGUCUACUAUCACCAAAAUUACAUCGUGUCCCCCUCGAGAUCGAGGCAAUCCGGUCACGAAGUCCAUUGCGAUAUUUUUCCAUUUCCAAACGGGUAUAGGUAGACUUUGCAAUUUUUCCGCCGAAAAACGCCGCUCCGCUUUUACCUGUUGGCAGGUAAGACAUUGCGCAACAAACUCCCCAAUGUCCUUCUUCAUGCCCGGCCACCAAUAGUGCAAUUUCAAAUCUUGAUACAUUUUGGUGCCGCCCGGAUGUAUAUUAUAAGGAGAUUGGUGCGCUUCUUGCAUAAUCGCCCUGCGGAUGUCCUUGUUCUUAGGUACACACCAACGGUUUCUAAAUCGGAGUGCACCGUCGGUCCCAAUGCCAAAACCAUCGGCACUACCGUUCUUAACUUCACCGCGCACCUUUUGGAGAUACUCAUCGGAAGCUUGCAGUUCUUUUAUCCUCUCCAACAAGGUCGGUUGCACCACUAACGCGGCUAGUGUAGCCGGCACUCCCGGUGCCACUACUUCCAAACCAAGCCGUUGCGUCUCUUUUUGCAAUAAUAGUUGGGGUGUAAUUGCCGAAGCCAAAUUUUUUUUCGAUUUUCUACUAACUGCAUCGGCCACGACAUUCGCCUUCCCGGGGUGGUAUAGAAUAGUAACAUCAUAGUCUUUUAGCAAUUCCAACCACCGCCGUUGUCGCAUAUUUAGCCCCCUUUGGGUGAAUAAGUACUUAAGACUUUUGUGAUUCGUAUAGAUCUCAUAAUGUUCCCCGUAUAAGUAAUGCCUCUAUAACUUUAGCGCGAAAAUAACAGCCGCUAGCUCAAGAUCGUGAAUCGGGUAGUUCUUCUCAUAAGUCUUCCAUUGGCAUGAAGCAUAUGCUAUAACUCGACCGUUUUGCAUCAAAACACACCCGAUUCCAACGUAGGAAUCAUUACUAUAUACCACAAAGGUCUCCCCCAGCGUCGGUAGAGCAAACACCGGGGUCGUGGUCAAUCUUUUUUUUAAUUCCUCGAAGCUUCGCUCGCAUUUGCGGCUCCAAACAUACUUCACCUCUUUGUGUGUAAGGCGCGUUAGUGGAGUAGUUAUUUUAGCAAACCCCUCCACGAACCGCCGGUAUUAGCCCGCUAGCCGAAGGAAACUGCGGACUUCCGAUAUGCUCGUCGGGCGAGGCCAAUCUCUAAUUGCCUCAAUUUUCUUCGGGUCCACCAAGAUACCAUCGCCCGAAAUUACAUGACCAAGGAAAGUGACCUCCGAUAGCCAAAAGUCGCAUUUCUUCAACUUGGCNNNNNNNNNNNNNNNNNNNNNNNNNNNNNNNNNNNNNNNNNNNNNNNNNNNNNNNNNNNNNNNNNNNNNNNNNNNNNNNNNNNNNNNNNNNNNNNNNNNNGCCAAGUCGGUGUUGGGGUUGUCCUGGAUAUCCAACCACCAACGGUAGGCCUUGCCGUCCAGAAAGUGAGUGGCGAGCCAAAUUCUAUCCCGCUCCUCCACAAAGGUGUCUCGAAACAGCUUCUCCAUAUGCAUCAACCAUUUUUCGACAAUCCAGUGGUCGAUGUUCUCACCAUCAAACGUCCUCGGGUUGCACCUCCUGAACUCACUGAGGCGCUCCAUGAGCCGAUCCCGCUCGGCUCCCUCGGCCAUCACGGAAAAUGCCGCCCCCGUCACUGGUCUCUGAAAAGGUAGUGCUGCAGCCACCUCCUCCCGAGGUGCGGUCGCCAGUGCCGCACGUGAAGAACUGGGCGCGGGGGACUGCGCCCUCGGUGCUACGUCAACCACGGGUGCUGGCGGUGUGGGACCCUGGGUCUCCCUCGAAGCUGCCNNNNNNNNNNNNNNNNNNNNNNNNNUAGGCUAACUCCGGAGUGCCGGCUUGUAGGGAGCGACCCUCACAAGCAUGUGCGAAUGAGCACAAAUGGCAAGCAAGCAUAGUCCAAGUCUCAAAUAUCCAAUCCUCAUGUCUCUAACAUGGUAUCAUAACUAGCAUCCCGAAGAUCUAGUCUAAGUCAUAAGAUGAAGUUCCAACAUUCAUUACGCCUAGUGCCCCUUGAUGACACUUAGACAAUCUAAUGUUCAACAUAUACCCAAUCCCUCAAUGGCUCUAACCACUAGGUUCACACAUGUCCCGAGCUCAAUGCCGCUUGAUGACAUUAGCUCUCCAAUUCACAUACAUUCUAGUUCGAUAGCUCUAUAUGGCAAUUUUGUCAACUUUCAUGUCCCAAAUAAACUUAGGUUUAAAUGCAUGAAUCCAAUCUCACUUACACUAUAGGAGGAUGGAACCACGUCUCAUAUAGAAUGCUAAGAGCAACUAUAGGCCUACCAAGCUACUCUCUACUACAUAGAGGUCCAAAAUUUCAUCAUAUAUAACAUAGGCCUUUUAAGCAUUCUAAAAUUCACAAUAAAUACAUAUAACAAGAAUAUGCAUGCUUUUUCAUUUAACAAUACUUCAUUAAACACAAAUGAGAAUUUCUCAUUGUGUGGCUAGGUCAAACCCACCGAACCGUCGCGUAGGGCCUCGUUUCGCCGAACAAAGUUGCCCCAGAGUCUCAAAAUACCCUAAGAGCCCGUUUGGUUCGAGUUAUGUAAUAUUACAAAGUAUCUCGACAUAUCCAGGUAUCUUGGAUUUCGGCGUGAGAUUACUACUGAUGCUGCAUUAGAGCGUUUGGUUUAAUACAGUAAUGUAAUACUAGAUUACAGUGUUUAUAGCAUUAAUAUGUUUGAUUCAGUUUAUAAAAUUUAGUAAUCCUAAUAUAAAAAUAUAGUUUUUUCCAAAAUUGUCCUUGUUGUGAUGAUUUGAAUAUUAUUUUUUGCGGAAAUGACGAAUGGAGGGAAGGAGAUCGUGAUGAUUACUUGGGAGGACGACGUAAUAGAAGAUGAUAGGUGUUCGUGCGCGCGCGCGCGCGCGAGAGACGUCGAGAGACGUCGAGAGAGAGAGAGAGAGAGAGAGAGCGAGAGAAAGCGGCGUGCGAGAGAGAGGGCCGGGGAGAAGGCGAGAAAGAGAUGAAAAUAAUGCUGUUAAUUAGAUUUGUGAUUGUUGGAGGUAAAAUUAUUAUUUUACACAAUAUGUAGUAUUAACGGGUUUCAGUAAUGCAAGAUACACAACCCCCCUCCCGUUAAUAUUUUCGAUGUAAUCCUACUCGAUUUGUAAUGCUACAUUAACGACUAGAUUACAUAGUGGAUUAACCAAACACAGUUAUCCUGACAGGAUUGCCUGUAAUCCUGUCAGGAUAACUCGAACCAAACACACCAUAAAAGUAAUCAGCGAAGAGAUACGAGAGCAUUACGACCAACCAAGAGAUCAAACAUUAACCUAUAAGCAAAAAGGGCCAAAAUUCACCUCAAGAGGAGAAAAUCUCUCUCAAGCUCCAAAAGAGAGCUAAAUCCCUUCCAAUCCAAGCCCAAGAAAGGUUCUAAUCCAACCAAUCUAGCCCCAAAAGCCCUAGAUGAAAAAGCCCCAAAAAUCAACCCUAAUACCCAAUCUAGGGUUUUAAAUGGUAAAACCUACCAAAUCAAGGAUCAAAGGGUAGAAUCCAAGUACUAACCUCCCAAGAUGCCUCCAAACAAGCUCCAAAUCUUCUAGGGUUGAAGAUUGAUCCACCACCAAACCCUACAAGCAAGCUCCAAGCCUUGCAAAGGUGGGAAAGAGAGAAAGGGGUUGAGCUCCAAGCUCCCUCAAGCUAGCUCCUCUUCUUCUUCUCCUCCUUCUUCUUCUUCUUCUCUCUCUAGAAAGUGUAGGGAGAGGGUGAGAAUGAGAAAAUGAGAGAGGGAAGAGGAGGAAAUGGCUAAUAAGCCCAUCUAGUGUAACAAAAUCCGGAGAGGCCCCUCAAAAUUUCAAUAUUACCCCAGCCCGGUCUGGGCAGUUUUCGCCCAAAGGGACCGGUCUCUCCCCAGUAGGAACCGGUCUCUCGCUGCGAACCCGAAGAACCAACGUUCGGGAACCGGUCUCUCCCCGCGCGGGACCGGUCUCUCUCUGCGAAGGCGCGCUCGGGGACCGGUCUCGCCCGCCAGGGACCGGUUGCCUCAGGGCUGCCGCAGCACUGUUCACUGGGGGACCGGUCUCUCCUAUCAGGGACCGGUCCCUGAGAGCAAAAACUCUCAAGACUUGUCCAGAAUUCCAGUUUUUGAACUUUUUAGGUCUGAAAACAUUCUACGACCCUCCACCAAGUGUGGAAAAGCUCGAAACACAUCCAAACACUCGAACCUCGCAAUUUGGAAAGGUCCAGUGUAUUACACGUGCCCGGGUCGGCCCAAAUUGGUAUCAGUCCAGGGGCGUGACAUGAUCACUGUGAUCAGCACUGACCAGUGAUCGCCGUGCUCACCUCCGUAGGCAUUGGGAUAGCCUCUGGUCGCUGGAAAAAUAAGCACAAACUCAAAACUAUGCACAUGCAGCACUAAAUAAAGGUCACCGGGCAGAGAGGGCUCGGAUCCAACCGGCGGCGACUCGACGGCGGGAGCGUCAGCGACAGGGGGGUGCGGCCGGUGGGGGAAGGUCGCCGCUCACGCGAGUUGCCGGCGGCAGGUAGUCGGAGGGGCGGGCGGCGAUGCCCUAGGAGAAGGGAGGCAGCGAGCGACGGCGGCGGCGGCACGCAGCUCAGGCGUGGCCACCCGAGCUUGGCUCGGUCUUAGGGCCGCAGCGGCAACGCCCUAGGCUUGCGGCUGCGCCAAUCGCACGGACCGGAAGUGGGGGUGCCGGAGGGCCACGAGGGUGGUUGCCGGUGCAGCUUCGGGCAGUGGCGGUGCUGGGGAAAGAAAGCAGCUUAGCUCGGCCCGAGCUUGUCCAGGGAGACUGCAGGGCUGCAGCAGCGCGGCAGUGGUGAUCGGGGUAGCUGAGGCUAGUAGGGGAGAUCAUCGGGGCUCCGGGGGAGGCGACUUGAGCGACCUCAGGCGGCGGUGGCGCGAGGGGAGGGAGCUGAAGCUCCAUCGGCCCGAGCUGCCACAACUUGGCUGCAGAGUGGUUGCAACGCGGCAGUGGCAUUCGGGGGCAGCAACGACCGGCCGUGGGAGGUCGCCGGAGCUCAGGGGUGAUGCCGUAGUGGGGCUAGAGGGAGGGGAGUGCCGAGCACCACCUUCAGCCAAAGAAGACAAGCAGGAAAGUAGUGGAGGAGACAAAAAAGAAGGAGGAAGUGGCUGAGGCUGCGGCUGCCGGCCGCGGUUCGGUCUGUUGCGGCCGGAAGGCGCGCGGCGCACGAGGUGAGGGGGAAGAGGCGGCUGGGAGUCAGCUGGGGGCUAGGGUUAGAGUUUGCAUUGUGCAAAUCCCUAGAAAACUAUAUAUACAAAACUCUAAAUUGAGCAAAAGCCCCUGAAAAUCCGAUAUUUAACACUAAGUCCCUCACAGCACAAGUAAAACGCGCAAACCCACUCUUACAUUCAAAUUCACGCAAAACAGUACAUAAAAUGUAGAGCUUAUCGCAAAAUUACCGUUUUUCCAUCUAAGACCCCUUCUCGAUCAAUGCACGAUAUCAAGAGAUCCGUCCAUCAGAUUUGCAAACGGAUCGCACCAGUUCGAUUAGCAUGACAGAGACAUCAAACCCCCAAUUUUGUUUCGCCUGAUUUGGUCGCGGAUUCGCAACGAAACCCAUUCUUUCUCCGAUAGGCAAAGCCACACACAAAUACAUAAAAUAUUUGUAUAUCCAGUUUUCUCGAAAUUCGCACGCCAAACCUAAAAUCCGUCAGCGCCAAUGGUUCCAGGAUAGUUGAACCAUUGAAAACGAGCUAUUGGAUCACUAUGAAUGGAGUCCGAUACGCGCCAGAAGCCAUCUCUACACCGUGGCCUCUCCGGAAAAUCAGGUUACUAUUCACUUUAAGUGAAAAGUAAAGUUCACGUAAAAUCUCCAUUGUAACUCAUUUUCCCCCGAAACAUGGCGAGUACUUUUGUAAUUAAAAUACAUACAAAAGCAUCGUCAACAAAGAGUUUAAUUAUGUUGCGAAAUCUCAGUCCUUACAUGUCAGGACCACAGAUAUUGAGUUUUAUCGAGAUAAGUUAUAUCAGCAGAGAGAGUCCCAGGUACAUAUUAAUGCAACCAUCUUUUUCAAUAUUAUACAAACGUAUUAAUGCAUCCAGCUGACUAUUGGCUUGUUCACAUAUUAUAUGGAGGCCGUACACAGAUGCUAUUAUAGUCACGCUACUGGCAUUUUGUGUACAGGGCAGUUAGGUCUGCCGAUCGAGAACUAUGUUGAUUUAUUUUCAUAUUGUAGAGAUGCAUGUACCGAAUCGAGUCCUACGACGGUUUGGUCUUCUCUGGCCAUCAUAUACCCAUUAACAUGGAGACCAUCCAUUAUGUGACUUCUCAGGGGCGGCAAGACGAGGAUUGGACAAUCUUUCAUGCUGCACACAUCGAGAGAUAGGGAAAGAGAUUACAAAAAUUUUCGACCACCUGUCGAUUGUGUCACACCCCAAUAAUCCCACAUCAGAUAUGAAUGGAGAUGUGAUUGGGUAUAUAAGAAACUUAGACGCUAGUAAUAAUAACUGGACUUAAGCAUUUUAGGCCGGUGGUUGGGCCUAACGAGUUAUUAUUGCUAGUGGGCUGGGUCGUUAUAUUUGGUAUCAAAGCUAGUUUACCAGUCAAAAAUGUGUGGCGAGUCUUUGCUGAGUCAAGGUCUAAAAGACAAGGUGAUAGGCUAUGCCGGAGUCUGAAUGACAAGGUAACCAGCUAUGCCAGGGUUUGGAUGACAAGACUAGCGAGACAAGUCUCACAUCGCCUGGUGAUCUUGGACAGUGUGUGUGAUUGGACUGACGAGGACGUUAGGGCCUUAACGGAGGGGAGUCUAUCACACCCCAACAAUCCCACAUAGGAUAUGAAUAGGGAUGCGAUUGGAUAUAUAAGAAACUUAGACAUUAGUAAUAAUAACUGGGCUUAAGUAUUUUGGGCCGGUGGUUGGGCCCAACGAGUUAUUAUUGCUAGUGGGCUCGGUCGUUAUAGAUUGUUGGUAAUAAUCCAAUACAGGCUUCCUCCAUUUACAUGCAGUGGUAUUGGGCGAUAACGAGGAGAUGGAUUUCUCGUCCAAUACAGCGUCCUUCGUUGACUUUCCAGCCUCAUGGGCAGACCGAGAGAGUUUUGAUAUAAUUAGUCAUAUAUUAAUUAUUAUUUUAAUUUUAUAAUUAAUAUAAAUUAGAAAAAAUAAGUUUUUAUCUAUAAUGCACGUGGACGCAUUAUGAUAGACUCACUACAGUAUCAGACAGCUAGUUGAUGAUCCCCCUGCGACCCAUACGAUGCUAGAGACUCUGACGGGCAUCUGUGCCGAUAUUGAGACGGUACUGGAGUAUGUUCUUGCUAUACCUAUUAUUAGGGAUACAAGAGGUCGAGAUUUUGCUCACGCCUCGACAUCCGGUCAUCAGAUGCGACAGUCUCCGUCUUCUAUUGGAUCUCAUUCGACAUUGAGCUAGUGAGUGUCAUAGUCUCCAUCUCCCACUGACGUUGGAGUUAUACCUAACGCCCUUUCGACAUUUUUCUUUGACGUUUGACUAGCUUCUGCCACCAGUGUCGCGUAUGUAUUUUAGAUCCAUGUAUUCUCGUCGUCGUGGCCUGUCAUCAUCACAGCACCGCCCAGCAUCUACAUCGGCCCCUAUCAAGGGUGAUCGACCAGUGCCAGAGGAGACUCAGGCAAUUCCAGAGUAUCAUAAGGGCAUCAUUAUCGCGGAUCUUGAUCAGAUGGCAAGUAUUGAGCCACUUGAUGACGGACCUCCUGUUGAGCUCGAUGUUGAUCGUAGGUGUAGAUGUGGACGUGGGCGUGCACGCGGAUGUGGCCGAGGACGUCGAGGGAGAGGAAGAUCUCAAGAAUGACAUUAUAUGAUUUAGAUCGAAUACGUUGUAUAACAUGUCAAUAUUAUAUACCUCUUUAUUUAGUUCAUAUUUGUAUAACUUUCUAUAUUUUUGUUGAUAUUCCUAUUCUAUUUGUUGUAUCUUGUUGUUCUUCUCGUCUUGUUGUUUUUCUUGCUGAAAUUUUUUUCCUUGUGAAAAUUCUUGCUCCAAACUUGUAAAACUUGUUGUUAAAGACUUUAGAAAAAAAAGGGUGGAUCAGUUUGCAUUAAAGACGAUAAACCAUUCACUGCAUUCAAGAAGACGGUAAAUAGUUCACCGUCUUAUCUAUGUUUCAAUGCCAAGAAAUUCUUCUCUGAAAUUUGUAGGGUUGUACUAAAGGCAGUGAAUGGUUCACCGUCUUAAUGAAGGCGGUGAACCAUUCACCGUCUUAUCUAUGUUUCAAUGCCAAGAUCAAGGACUUAGAAAAUCUUUUCCGAAUUUGUAGAGUUACACUAAAUGCGAUGAAUGAUUCACCGCCUUAGUGAAGGCGGUGAACCAUUCACCGUCUUCAGUCUAAAUAUUACAAAGACGGUGAUUCGUUUACCACCUUAGUGAAGACGGCGAACGAUUCACCGUCAUUCACCGUCUUCAGGGGAAAUAGCUGAUCUGGUGCCUACGUGGUGAAAAGAGGGUUAACUUUUUAAAUAUAAAUUUUAGAAGAUUAUUUCACAAUUUAUAAAUUUUAAGAGAAUUAUUUUGUAAAAAAGUUCCAAAUAUGUCCCAAAAUAGAGGAAAAUGAGAUUGGCUUCGAAACGCCAUGUGGUUAGAAAGCCGUUGGCACAUUUUCACAUUUUGGUGCCACCUGUCACGGACUUAGUGUUUUUGUUCGCAAAAUCCGUGCGGCGCCCACCUUUCCUGCUUGAAGAUGGACAAGCCUUUGUCCCUAUUGCUAGCCCGGACCUUCGCGUCCUACUACUAAGUAUGCAAAGGAAUGAAACAAAAGAAAGAGGCAGAGAUUCUCUCAAAAAGCUAAGUACUACACUACUUAGAAAAUGAGAAUUACAGCAUACAAACAUACUAUCUCUUGUGUGUUUUGGCCUUAGCCAACCCUACUAUUUCUAGGCUAAAUGAUAUAUUGAAUCUAGCCACAUAACUCACCCACUAUCUCAUAGUAAUAAGCCCUCAUAAUAGCCAAAAGUCAAAGAGUCACACCAUAACUCCCAUGAGUUUCAUAACUCUUGAUGUCACGACUCGAGACCGCUACCAAUUUGGCACGGCUCGGGCGCGUCGAACAGACGCCGAACGGACAGCACCUCCCCUGUCCGCCCAAGGCCAACAACCCGAUCAUGUACAAGAAUUUGCCCAGGAAAUAGGAAUUCAUACAUACACGAUUACGAGGGCACAAACAGUGCCAACAAACAAAGAGCAAGAAUCCACAAGCAUAUACAAGUGAAAUAAAGAGAGCUUUUACUAACUAUUACAUCCAUUCGUUCACAAUUUAAGGCUCUUUUACAUUUACAUCACAUCGUUCCCAAAAUGAAUACAUAAUCAUUUUUCCAAAUACAUAGGUGGCUCUCCCAAAAUAUAAAGCAUCUAGAUACAUAAGGGUACUCUAAUGCAAAAGGAAAGCUACUAUGCUACAGCUCGGGCGCUAUGCCCUUGCCGCGGUCCUCGCCCGGCGCACUCGUACUAGGCCCUGCAACAAAGUGGGGUGAGAACUAUUGUCCAUAGUUCCCAGUGGGUUCGGCCGCCGACUCCGCCGAUCUCCCCACUAGGUCCGAGUGGGCAAAAGCAGAUAGAUAGAUAGAUAGAUAUCAAAGCUGUAAAUGCAAUAGUAGGAAAACUAUGCUACUAUGCCCAAUCAUAUGNUGUCAUAUAUGCAUGCAUCAUAUAGUAAAAGGUUUACUAACAUGCUACUACGUCCACUAUACAUGUCCAACAAGCAAAUGUUCAAGUAACAAUGCUAUUCUCAUGUUCAAUCAAUCCUUGGCGAUCCACUUGAGUUCGCCCACGACUCACCUCAAACCUCGUAUGGUAAGGAGACGCACCUCGCUCUCAAACCCGAGGCCGCCUGCAGGGCAUCAACUCUGCUCCUGUCGCACCAUACUCCGGAGUGCACGAAGACCCGGGUGGUGCGACCACCACAAGUAUGAACAGACUGUGAGCAUGAUCAAUCCUCUCAACUCGAGGAUACCCUAUCAACUGUAGGGUUACAAGUCACUAGGGAAUCCACCUAUCCCAAAGUCCAAAUACAAUGUUUGGCUACAUUAUAUUCUUGUCCAACGAGUCAUUUACUAGAGAAUUCACCUGUCCCUAAGUUCACAUGCCACUAGUGUCAUUAUACACUACAUUAUAUGCCACUCAUUCUUGUUUAUUUAACAGUCAAUGCCACUCAUUACGUCUUUAACAAUCAUCAAGUUCAUCUCUUUUCUCGGCACUAUAGAAUUCAAUGUCAAGAUCCAAUCCUCAUCUAACCAUCACCAUGCAUUCAACUCAUACAUAGAUAUCAUUAGCAAGCAUAAGGAAAGGAAUCACAUGCAAUUCUACAAUGCUACAUGCAAGAAAUGCAAAUCGUGAAGUUCUAAGACAUAGAGAGGAACCCGGUUGCUUCGGGAUGACACCACCCACCUUUCGACGAUGUCGGGGUGCUAGAAUCACUUCUCGGCACUUGUUACGACGAAAUCUCCACCUCCAAGAAGAAAAUGAAGCUUGCUCGGCCUUGUUUUGCCGAUAACUUUUCACCGGCUCGACGAAUGCUCAAUCUGUCAUCGCCAACGCGUUUAGACACCUAACAAUUAGAUUUAGAUGCCCUUAAAUGAGAUCAAUUUCAUAGAUUUCCAAAAACCCCAAAUUGGAGCCCUAGGUUUGCAUCCAUGCAAAAUGCUCCAACAAAAUUCUAAAUUCUAGCAUUAAUCAACUAUUUAGCAUGCUAGGAGUCCAUUUGACCCAUUUACAAAGCUAGAAAUCCAAUCCCUAGGUUCCUACCAUUGUUGAGCUCAAAAGCUUACCUCUAAGCUAGCUCCAAUGGUGUGAGCAGGAAGAGGAGAUGGAGAUGAUCUCUUCCCAAGCUUGCUUCUCCUUCUUCUCCUUUUUCUUUGCUUCAAGAGAGAAGGGAGAGAGCUAAGAGAGAGAGAGAGUGUGUGUGUUUGGGGUGGAAAUGAGAGAGAAAAGAGGGCCCAACCCCUCUAUGCCCCUCAACUAAUGGCAUAAUUACAGCCAAGCCCCUCUACUUUGCACUCUGUGCACUGCUUGGAUUGGGCAGUUUUCGCGCCCAGGGACCGGUCUGUCCCUUAAGGGACCGGUCCCCGAGAGCAGUCCAUGCAGGCAGAGGGCUCUGCCCAACUCCUACGCGCACGGGGAAGGGUCUUCCUCGCCAGGGAUCGGUUUCCGAGAGCAACACUCUCAGGCUGCGUUUGGUUCGGGUAUAAGUAAGAACUGCUAGUUCCAGGGAUAGGUACAAGUUCAGAUAUAAACAAGAACUAGACCAAUUUUGCGUUUGGAUGAAAAUUGGGUUGUUUCUAGGAAUAAGGUAAAUAGUGUUUGGAUGUUUAGAUUGGAAAAAGAGGAAUAACAAUUAUAAUUUGAAAUUAAAAUUAUAUUAUGUAAUUAAUUAACAUCAAAAUAUUAUUUAAAAAUAAAUAAUAAAUUAAUUAUUAAUAAUUAAUUAUAAAUAAUAAUAAUUAUUAGUAAUUAAUUAUAAAUAAUAAAUUAAUAAUAAUAUUGAUUAUCUAAUUAUUAAUAAUAAUUAAUAUUAAUAUUCAUUAAUAAUUAUUAAUAAUUAAUUAUAAAUAAUAAAUUAAUAAUAAUAUUGAUUAUCAUUAAGAAUAAUAAUUAUUAAUAAUUAUUAAUAAAUAAUAAUAAAUAAUAUUAAUUAUUAAUAAUUAAUUAUAAAUAAUAAUAAUUAUUAGUAAUUAAUUAUAAAUAAUAAAUUAAUAAUAUCGAUUAUCUAUUUAAUUAUUAUUAUUAUUAUUAAUUAUUAAUAAAUAAUAAUAAUUAUUAAUUAUUCUUAUUAAUUAAUUAUAAAUAAUAAAUUAAUUAAUUAAUUAAUUAUUAAAGCAAUAAAUAAUGAUUUAAAUAUAUUAAUUAGAUUAAUUAAUAAUGUACUGCCAUUAAAAUUAAAUUUAGAUUUUAAUUAACCUUGUUCUCAUCAAGGAACAAGCUAGUUCCAGGAAACGGGUGGAACAGCAGUUCCAGCCUUAUACCAGCUUGUUCCAGAAACCCGGAAACUACUGUUCCCGGGAACCAAACAUACCGUUUGGGAACAAAGGGGGGAACAAGGGCUUAUUCCCCUCUUUAUUCCUGAACCAAACGCUACCUCAGGACUUAGCCGAUUUUCCACUUCUCUUCACUGGCUGCGCGUACGGGGACCGGUCUUCGACUGAGGGACUGGACCUUCAGGGACUGGUCCUCGCCCGAGAGACUGGACCCUGAGAGCAAAUAUCGCGCGCAGAGUUCUCUGUCUCGUUUUCAGCUUACGGGGACCGGUCUCUCCCGCCAGGGACUGGUCCCAAGAGCAGAAUUUGCCAAGUGCAGAUUUCGCACUGUUUGCUCUCGCGGAUCCAACUCCAAUGCACUUUUUGUGUUUUGGACACCUUCGGCUUUUCCGAAGCCUACCCACUCGACAAUUAGUUGAUUCUGAGCGAAAUCUAACUCUUGGAUUUCGAAAAUUUAUUUUCUUACACUUGAGUUUUCCAUAAUGGAUUGGGUUUGGAUCUCCUUAAUAAUCCGAUUCAAUCUGUUUUCAACCCGUUUCGCUAGCAGCCAGGACCGGGCUGCUUAGAAUUUUUUCUAAGUCCCCGACAAGCCGCCGUUUGGGAUAGUAAUUCUUCUGGUCCACCGCUCAUCAGCGUGCGUAAGCAGCUCCAAAGCUAACGUCUGAGAGCGCCGAUGACGAUCGAGCUCCUACCCUCCAUCCGUCUCAUCUGCAUCCCACUCACAUCUCGAGCUUUUCUUCUUCCUCCCCCUCCCUCCUCUCUCCGUCUCCUGUCAAAUUUCGUGAGGAACCCUCGAGGCGCGAGAAUCCUCCUUACUCCAUGGAAGCUGGGUCCGCUCGAACCACCUCGGAGGAGGGUCUCAGUGAGCUGCUCCUCCUCCUCCUCCUCCUCCUCGGCCGAGCACCGAGACGGCGGAGGAAUGGCCUGGUGGGCUUCUUGGAUUCCUCGCGGAGGCAGCGGCAGCUUUGUCGCCCCCGAGAGGAUUCUGAGGCUCAUCUCGGGCGCCACUUCGAGCCCCAUCUGUCAGUUCGUUGACUCACCUCGCACCUUCCUCCACUUUGUCGACCCACGGAUCAAAUUGGUAUGUGGGCAUUUUUGCUCUUGGCUAUUUUCCGUUGUUCCCAAGAUAAGGUCAAGUGUUUUCUACCAUGUAUUUUAUUUAAUUACUUUGUAGGAUUACUUCUUAGUGAUUGACACAGGCUUAGCAUGAUAAUGCUUAAUCAAAGGAAGCAGCUGUGGCUGCAUGCAUCACUGAAACGAGAUAUGAGCGUCCAAGCAAGCUCUGAUGGGUGUGGUUGGUAGAAAAUUUCGCUGGCACACAUGGUGCUAUCCGAGUUGUCUGCCGACGGGUUUGUCGUUCCAUGCUAAAGGCGUGAUUUGACUUGAGUUCAGAUGCAGACUGGAGAGGGAACUGUUUGCUCGGGUUUGAGCUCAAGGAAAGGCCUCAAGAUCUUUGCCAGUGCGAGUCGAAGGUUCAAUGCUUUGGCUUCUGAGCUUUGGCUGCUGUUCGGGUUGAAGUGGCGAACCGGACUGCUGUACAGCAACAAUCCUGGGGAAUCGGUAGGUCGGUGCAGAUAGGCGCAGGGGGGUACGUUCGGAGUGGUACGGUCAUCGAGGACGAUGUCAGUGCGGGACUGAACGGUGGUGGAGACUAUGUUAAGGCUACUCCUAGAUUACGUAAUAGCUACUCCUAAGCUAUGUUAUGGCUAUUCCUAGUCCUUGGAUGUGAGAUGUAGACUGACGUCUGUGAUGUGAUGUUCGGAUUCCCUGCCAUGUUGUUGUCUUCAUCCUUUAUAGGUGCAUCGGCGCAAUCGACAAAGUAACUCCCGCAAUUCAUCACCUUUUUUUCUCAACUGCUCCUCUAACUCCUUGCCUUUGAUCGUGGCCAUUUGAAUUUUGAAUCACUAAAUUCAAAUGAGCCUGCCUUUUGGUUGUUGGAGUAAGUUUGGAUGUGACACUGAAGGCCAAAUUGGCCACUCGAAAUCUUGCUAGGCCCUUAUUCUAGCUAGUGCUCAUUUUCGGUGUUAACAAUUGCCCCCCUUGGCAGUUACUUUUGGGAGAGGGACAAGUGAUCAUCAAAUUUUCUGCUGCUGCCAUUUCGGUUUCAAAAUGAUGUGGGGCAACACACUAUCUUAGGUUUUCGUGCGCCUAUUAAAUUCACCUUCAUCAUUAUGGUGGUGGCGGGAGGCGAACCGUCGCAUCAUGGGACACGUGGCCUACCUGCUAUUGGUUGGGCCAUUGUUAUAAAUGUUGCUGGUGUCUCACGCCUUCUCCUGAUUGAAACCCUAGUUUUGUUCACCGAGAAAGCUUAUUUUCUUCGUCUUGUUCCUCGGCCCCGCUGCUUUUUUCCUUUCUCGUUCCCUUGCUCUCGUGGCUUCGUCUCCCGUAUCGAUUCCUUCCGAUGACACUUUCCUUGACAACCCCACGGUCAAACGUGAGGUUCUCCAUUCGCUCCCAGGCUCGGAGUCUCGAAGUCCCGUUUCAUCCUCGGGGUCUUUUAUCACCUCCUCAUCGUUUUCGAAUGGUUUUGCCUUUCUUCUUUCGGUUCACAUUCUUUGGGUCCUAGAUGAUUUCGUACCCGCUGUGUUGUGCCAUCAUCUUUCCUUGACCCCAUGUAUUUCCAGUUCGAAUUCCAGAAUAUAUAGAAGUUCUUCCUAGUGUCUGCUUGUGAUCGCGACAACCUGACUACAAAGUCUAGAGUGAUGUUCUCCUAUAGUGAUGUUCUUCUAUUUUCAGAUGGGAAUACGUACCCGUCAGUAGUUGAUGUUAUUCCUUCACUUCUUGGCAUAUUAAAGCACCGAGCCACAUAUGGCUCAACAUCUCUCUUCAUUUCGGGCCAUCAAUAAUGAGUCUUCAAGUUCUUAUACAUGAUAAUGCCGAGUGGAUUAUAGCGAUCAGUGAGCUUCUCUCAAGGCUUUUUCUUGGAUCUCUGUAUCAUUCGGUACGCAUAGUCGGUUUCGGAACCAAAGAAUGCCACAAUUUUCAAUUCAAGCUGUCGCAUUUCUUCUAGUAGUGGGAGUCGACAAUCAUAGCUAAAUUCUCCACGGAUUUUUGACUCCAUGCAUCUGCCACCACAUUUGGUUUGUUGGGGUGAUAUAAAAUAGUGAUGUCGUAAUACUUAAACAACUACAACUACUAGCGCUACUUCAAAUUUAACUCCUUUUGUGUAAGUAUUUGAUGCUCUUGUGAUUCGUGUAGAUCUCACAAUGCUUGCCGUAGAGGUAGUGACGCCACAACUUAAGGGCGAAGAUCACUACGGCUAACUCUAAAUCGUGAGUGGUGUAGUUCUUCUCGUAAUCCUUUAAUUGACGGAAGGCAUAGACUUCCCGUUUUGCAUAAGAACACAUCCAAACCCACUAUGCGAUGCAUCACUAUAUGCUACGAAAUCCUCUCCCGUGGUGGGCAACACAAGAACUAGAGUUGUUGUUAGCUUAUUCUGCAAUUCUUCAAAACUCUUCUUACAGUCAUUGCUCCCUUUAUGUAUAAGACUACUAAGCGGAGUGGUAUCUUUGCAAAUCCUUUAGCAAAUCGUUAAUAAUAUCCCGCGGGACCAAGGAAGCUUCGCACUUUGAUGAUGUUCGUCGGUCGAGGCUAAUAUUUGAUUGCUUCUAUCUACUUAAGAUCCACAUAAAUUUUAGCUUUGGAUACCACAUAUCCCAAUAAGGCAACUUCGCAAAGCCAAAAGUUGGACUUCUUCAAUUUAGCGAAUAGCUUUUUCCCCUGAAGAACUUGCAACACUUGCCUCAAAUGCUCUUCGUGCUCUUUAUCACUUCGGGAGUAAAUCAAAUUUUGUUGAUGAAGAUCACGACGAAACGAUCCAAAAAGGGCUUGAAGACAUGGUUCAUCAGAUCUAUAAAUACCGUCGGGGCAUUUGUGAGCCCAAACGACAUAACUAUAAACUCAUACUAUCCAUACCGUGUUCGAAACGUCAUCUUUUGCAGAUUCUUCGACUUGAUCUUCAACUAAUGAUAGCCCGACUGGAAGUCAAUCUUUGAAUACACCCGAUAUCCUUGAGGUUGAUCAAAGACAUCAUCAAUUCAGGAUAACUAAUACUUAAUUACUUAUUCUUUAUUGUGACUUUGUUUAACUCACGAUAGUCCACACACAAUCAUAACGAUCCAUCUACACCAAAACUCCCUAUGGUGACAUACAUGGUUUUAUAAAGUCUUUCUCGAAAAGAUUCUGAAGUUCUGCCCAAGGAUUUAAGUGCCCAUUGGCACGGACCGUAUCUACUGUGCUGUAUCGUGCCAACAAGAUAUUGACAUGAUGUAGCCUCCGUACCGUGGUACAGCUUAAAACCCUUUAUUCUUAAAAUUAGUAGGUAAUUUUCUCAAUAAAGUUCAAAAGCUUUAAUAAAAAUACAUAAUAAAUAGUUAGAAUAUUUUAUUGCUAAAGAAAAUAAAUAUUUCAUGCUAUUAUGUGUCGGCACAUGAAUUUUUUGUGACCGGCACGGCCCGGCACGCACUUUGCCGUAUCGUGCUAGCAAGUUUUCGGCAUGACCCCGUGCCACGACACUUAAAUCCUUGGUUGUCCUUUUUACUCUUUCAACUCUGCAGAUGUCAGUCAUCCUAUAAGGUGCUUUGGAAAUAGGAUCUUGUCCUGGUAACCAAGUUUUUGACAAACUUGAUCUUUUGGUCUUGCGGCAUACCCAGCAACUUUGUUGGAAAACACAUUAAGAAACUCUUCUACCACUGUUGCCAAAAAGGCUACGAAUCCACUAUCCAUCAAGCGCUUGGCCCAAAAUGUAGAAAUCGUUGUGGUGAAGCGAGAACUUCUAUAACCUUGGUAUACAAACUCUUCUUGACCCAGCUCAUGAAAGGUCACAAUUCUACUUUCACAAUCAAUCAUAGCCAGUGGCGGAUCCACCUUAAGUUCAGUGGGGUCUAUUGACCCUACUUAACUAAACCCUAUGUUGCACAGAUACGGAUACGGGGAUACGGAUACGACACGAUACGGAUACGGUGAUACGGCAAUUUCUAAAACUUCUAGGAUACGAUACGCGGGAUACACUUAAAUAAAAUAUUAUUUUAAAUAUAUUUAAAUGUAUGUUGAUUAUAUGUAAUGAUAUAUUGAGAACAAUUAGAAUAUCUAGGCUAUAUUAAGGAAUAUAUUCUAAUAUGCAUUAACUUGUAUAAUUAUUCUACAUAUGUUCAUAAAAAAAGAUAAUCAAUCAUAUAAAAUAAUAAUUCAAAAAGUAUCAAACCAACUAUCAUUCAACUUGAUCAAAUGAUAACAAUAAAUAUAUAGUCGCACAAACUAGAUAAUUAGCCAUUCAAUAUAUAUGUCUGAUUUGUUAGUUCUAUUAUUAAAAUAGUAAUAAAAAAAUAUGCUAACAAUUUAAUAGAGAAGGAAAAAAAAAUCAUAUUUUCUAUAGCCUUUGUUGCUUAAUACUAGGUUGACAAAUUAGAUGGAAGAGAGUAAAUACUGUGUGAAGAUAGAACAAGAGGGAGCGCCUUCUACCAUUCAAGAACAAAAAGAUAGAUGAAAUGACAAAUUGAACAGAUAUUGGUGUUUUUCUCACUCUUUUCCUUCUUUCCAAUAGGUUUGGACGUGAGCUUUUAAAAAAAUUUUAAGUUUCAAUCAUUUUAGACCAAAAAAGAACCGGGCCGUGUCCCCCCCGUAUCCCCCCGUAUCCCUCACGUAUCCGAGCCGUAUCCGAUAUUUUUUUAUUUUUUAAAAAUGCCAGAUACUUCAUUCCCGUAUCGGACACGUAUCGGGCGCGUAUCGGGCGCGUAUCGGUAUCCGAUAUGUAUCCGAUACGGAUACGGCAUGAAAUUUGAAGUAUCCGUGCUUCAUAGACUAAACCAAUUUAGAGGCCUUUUAUGAGGUUUUUGACUCCACUUUGGGGCAGUUGACCUCAAAGUGAGGUAAAAGAAAAACAAUAAAUAAAUACGUAAUACUUGUGGGGCCCACAUAGUAGUGGGCCAACAAGAAACUUAAAGGGUUAAAAAGCAUUAAAUAAAUAAAUACAAAUAAAAAUAAAAAAAUAUUACGGUUUGGAUAUUUCAUCGGGCUGCAAUUUUUUUUUUUUUUUUUAAUUUAGUUAAGCAACAGCAACAACAACAUCAUUCUUAAUUUAGGAAAAAAAAUUUGAACUUCUUUUCAUCCUAUCUCUCUUUACCAUUUCUUUUAUUGAUAUUAUUAUUAAUUAUUAAUUAUGAAUAUAUUAUUUUUUUUUAAUAAAUAGUGGUCAUUUUGUGUCGUUAUAAUGCAUAAAAUAUAAUUAGUACACUAAAGCUUCAUUUGGUAUCACGCUUAUUUUAAAUUAUUUUAAAUAUUUAUUCUAUAAAAUUUGAUAUGUUGGAGGAAUUUUUUUUUAUUGAUUAGUUUAUAAUGUAUUCGGCUAAGUAAUAGAUGAUUACUUAUUUUAAAAAUAUUGAAACAAAAAAAUAUUACUUUUAUUUUUUAUUUUCAUUUAUUUGUUAAGUGAGCACUUUGAUUGAAAUAGUUGCAAUCUAUCUACUGUCCACUCUUGCAUAUUUUAAUAUACAAAUUUUAUUUUAAAAAUAAAAAAUAAAUGUGAUGCCAAACGAGGCCUAAUUCCUUUUUUUAUCUGUCCUUUUAUAUAUAUUGACCUCACUAUGAAAAAUUUCUGGAUCCGCCACUGAUCAUAGCAUAAUACUUAGUGAGCUAAUCUAUACUCGAAACUACAUCGAAUCCCUUCAAUUACCUCAAGGUUAAUAGAUCUAUAGGCAUAAUGCAAUCACCUAACUUAACCAGACAAAGAAGGAUAAUGUUCACUGCAUGCAUAGUAUAACAAAGACAUGUACCUUUCCUAUAUGUGAUAGUUGAACCAAUUUAAUUUUAUGUAAUAUGGCAAAUGUCCGGUUUAUGAAUGAAUGCAACGCCCCAGUAUUAAAUAAUUCUUUAACUCUUAUAUCAUUAAUCAAAAUGAUACCUGCAGCGACGUCGCCUUUUGUCGGUAACUCCUCUGCUUGAGCUGCAUACAUACUUCCACUCGACGCUUGUCGGGACCCCUUGGGCUCAUGCGGUGCAAAGGGGCGUCCAGUAGGAGCAUGGGUGGGCGGGGCUCCUAUUGUCACUCUCAGAGUCAAAAGGGAUGAAAUUGAAGAUGGAGCUGGAGACACACCCCUUGGACACUUCUUCGCACUCUCAACAUCACGUUGUCGGCCGCCAACGUGAUUAUCAAAAGAAAGAAAGGCUCUACACCUUCGACCGGCCUCCAAUAUUGAUUGAAGACACAUGACUAAUGACUUAAUCAUUUAACUUGCCAUGUUAACGUGCUACCCUGCUCUCUUACGUUCCUAAGUCUUUACGAUCAAUCUCAUGUAUAGGGUCCACCGAAUGACAUAUCCUAGGCUUUGAUACCACCUUAAUCUGUCAAGUCUUGUGACACAGCGGAAGCCAGCCCAGGCACGUACAUAGACCUGCUAUGCGAACGGAGUUUCAGCUAUACGUAGGAAGCACCAACAAUCAAUCGAUACAAUUCACUCAAUAUCCAACAAGAUAUAUAAGUAAACAUACAAGUUGUUGGGUAUCAAAAGCAAGUAACUAUCUAUUACAUCCAACAUCCAUCAAUGCUACAAUUCCAACCAAAAUAUGAUACAUACAACUUGUUCACAUAAUUAACAUAAUUCCGUUUAUUACAUAACUUUGAUCCAAAAAUCACUUAAGUACAUUAGGGGUAACCUCUAUGGGCAAGGUACUCACAAUAGGAUAGGGGUAGGAUGAGGGCGUUAUCUAGUUCGCAACGCCUUUUCCACGGUCUCGUAGACUUCCGUCGCUAAAGAUGGUUCUAGAGAAGGAAAACAAGAAGAAUGGGGCGAGAACUUGAAAAAGUUUCCAGUGGGUGCAGUCACCGACAGGGGCGCUCUGCACGCACCAGGUCUAAACUAGGUAUAAUAAUGAAAUAAGCAACAUCGAGUAGCACCAAGGGUAAAAUAAUACUAUGAGAGUAAAUACUACGCAAUUACUAUGCCUCUACAAGAAAUAACUUGCAUGUUCAACUUGACCAUAUAUGCAUAAUUAUGCUUAUGUUGUCAAUAUCCAAUAUUUUACCCAAUCUUAUUGACCGGCUAGUAGUCCAGUCCUAACGUAUGUUGUUGCCUAGUGAGUCGUUGAACAAUCGCAUAAAGUCACUCAUUUGGCCGCCUCAUGGCUAGUUGAACAAUUGCAUACAUCUCCUAUUUCUACACUCAAAAAUAGGGCGAGCGGACUCACGUGGCUAUACCUCUGGAGGGCUAAGGCUUGUAAAGUCGUGACCUCCACAAGCGCUUGCUCAUUGAGCUCUAUUUGGCUCUUGCAAGCUUUAAUCAUAUGCUUAUGAUAAAAAAGACCAACUCUACAACAAAAUAGUCAUAAGGGCUCUUUUGCUCAAUCAUCAUAUCUAGCCAAAAAGCUAUGAAGCACGGAUACUUCAAAUUUCAUGCCGUACCCGUAUCGGAUACGUAUCGGAUACCGAUACACGCCCGAUACGCGCCCGAUACGUGUCUGAUACGGGAAUGAAGUAUCUGGCAUUUUUAAAAAAUAAAAAAAUAUCGGAUACGGCUCGGAUACGUGAGGGAUACAGGGGGAUACGGGGGGGACACGGCCCGGUUCUUUUUUGGUCUAAAAUGAUUGAAACUUAAAAUUUUUUUAAAAGCUCACGUCCAAACCUAUUGGAAAGAAGGAAAAGAGUGAGAAAAACACCAAUAUCUGUUCAAUUUGUCAUUUCAUCUAUCUUUUUGUUCUUGAAUGGUAGAUGGUGCUCCCUCUCGUUCUAUCUUCACACAGUAUUUACUCUCUUCUAUCUAAUUUGUCAACCUAGUAUUAAACAACAAAGGCUAUAAAAAAUAUGAUUUUUUUUUCCUUCUCUAUUAAAUUGUUAGCAUAUUUUUUUAUUACUAUUUUAAUAAUAGAACUAACAAAUCAGACAUAUAUAUUGAAUGGCUAAUUAUCUAGUUUGUGCGACUAUAUAUUUAUUGUUAUCAUUUGAUCAAGUUGAAUGAUAGUUGGUUUGAUACUUUUUGAAUUAUUAUUUUAUAUGAUUGAUUAUCUUUUUUUAUGAACAUAUGUAGAAUAAUUAUACAAGUUAAUGCAUAUUAGAAUAUAUUCCUUAAUAUAGCCUAGAUAUUCUAAUUGUUCUCAAUAUAUCAUUACAUAUAAUCAACAUACAUUUAAAUAUAUUUAAAAUAAUAUUUUAUUUAAGUAUAUCCCGCGUAUCGUAUCCUAGAAGUUUUAGAAAUUGCCGUAUCACCGUAUCCGUAUCGUGUCGUAUCCGUAUCCCCGUAUCCGUAUCUGUGCAACAUAGCCAAAAAGUCAUUCCAAGAAUUAUUUAACCAACAAUCGUGUUCUCAACAUGUAGAAAGACGAUAACAUUAUGACAUCCUCGAGACCAUGCAAAGUAUAUUCAUCAGUUUUAACAUGCUUGUUAUAAGGCUGAUGAAAACUAUGAGAUCUACAAAGCAUGCUUGAUAAUCAUCAACAACUACUCAUGCUUAAUAAUUUUUUAUUUAACAAUAGUAUUAUCCUAGCAAUUGAUGUUUUCGUUAUUAUGAUUUCAAUAUAUGCCAACUCAUAAGAAUGCGAUAACAUUGUAAUACCCAAAAGCUAUGAAUCAUGGAUUGUUACACCCCAAGUAGUCUUGGUAGCUUUUUGAUCGCCGCUAGCAUACUUUCGGAUUAUGCUUGUGAGUGUUGUUCUAGACUCUCCCAGAGUCUCUGAUUUUGUUCGAGCGCCUGGAAAGAUUUUUGGUCCAUGUGCUCUAUCAGUGCUAGCAUCUGUGCCAUUAUUUUUGACGGCUUAGCAAGAAUGGCCGCAGAGGCUUGCUCAGGUAUGAUUGUGGGUGGAGGUCUGUUAUUAGCUUCCAACGGAAUACCAAGCAUGAUUGGCCAACCACAUCUAUCCUAAGAACCAUUUAGUUUUGUAGACGCAAAUCAUUGGUAUUGGCACUGACCAUAAUAAUUUUAUCAAAGGAUCUCAUUGCGCGUGCCAAGAAGGAUUGUUGGUGAAAAAUUUCGCUGGCACAGGUGGUGCGAUUCGGGUUGUCUGCCAACGGGUUUGUCCCUUCGUGCGAAAGACGUGGUCUGAUUUGGGUUCAGGUGCGGAUCAGAGAGGGGGCCAUCCGACCGUGUUCGAGCUCGAGGGAAGGCCUUGAAAUCUUCGCGCAUGUAGGCCGAAGGCUGGAUGCUUUGGUUUUCGAGCUUCGACAAUUGCCUCGGCCAAAGUAGCAAUGCGGGAUCUCCGUAUAGCAACGGUCCUUGGGAAUCGGUAGGUUCGCCUGGAUAGAGGCGCAUGGUGCUGGGGACUACGUUGGCCGGUGAGGACAAGGUGCCUGGCUACUGUUAGAGUGGUAUGGUCAUCGAGGGUGAUGUCGUCUGAGGCUGAACGACGGUGAAGAUUACUUUAAGGCUACUCCUAAAUUACACUAUGGUUACUCCUAGGCUAUGUUACACUAUUUCUCGAAUGUGAGGUAUGUAUUGGCGUCUAUGAUGUGAUGUUCGGAUCCUUUGUCUUGUAGCUGUCUUCACUCUUUAUAGGUACAUCGUUGCAAUCGACGGAGUAACUCCCGCGAUUCUCUACCUUCUUUUCUCAAGUACCUUCUAAUUCCUCGCCCUUGAUCGCGGCCGUUUGAAUUUUGAAUCAAUUAAUUCAAAUGAGCCCGCCUUUUGGUCACCGAAGUGGGUACGUUUGGGUGUGACAUUGAAGGCCAAAUUGGUCACUCUUCGGCAGAGUUUCCUACCAAAAUCCCUUUUGGUACUACUUCUUGCCAAUGCUUAUUUUUGGUGUCAACAGGUGUUUAGCAGUGUUUACACAGUAGCCGCUAUGCCUGUCAUAGCGGCCGCUGUAGUGGAUUUUAUGUACUACCGCUAUGCCAUAAUCUCUAAAGGAGAAUUUAGCGGAUCGGGUUCAUAGCGGCGUUGAAGCGGCUACUAUAAAGCAGUUGGAAAGCGGAUGCUAUGAGUCCAAAACUUCAAAAAGUUUGAGUUGCAGACAAGGAGGAAUGCAACAACGUAGACACAGAGAGCAAAAAAUAGAACCAUUGAUGAUGUGGUGUUUGAGUCGUCGGAAUCGGAAGGGGAUGAAGAACAAAUGUUGAGAUGAAUGACCAGAAUACCUCUAGGGUGCGUUUGAUACCGGGGAUAUCCCGAAAUAACACGGGAUAUCCCCCGAGUUGUAACCAAACGGUAGAAUAACAGAGAGGAACUAAGAACAAAGCGGGUUGUUCUGGGUUGUUCCGGAACAACCCGAUAAAUAUUGUUCCUAGGGGAAUUAAGAACAAUUAUGUUCUUCUCUUUAUUUUAUUAGAUAAAUAGAGAGUUGAGCUGGAAUACUAUUGGUAGCAAACUGGCUCCGUUGCCACCCAUUUGUUUUUGAUGAUAGAGCCUCCAAAUCGACGAUCGGCACCGUUGAACAUGAUCUAUACCAUUUGAAGUAUCUAGAAAUCAAAUUUCAUGCUUUUCGAUAUUGUUCCCUUGUUCAUCAAGUGGACGUAAAAAUGAACGGUUGAAAAUGAAAAUCCUCUAAAAAGUGAUGAUGGGAAUUUUGUAAUCAAGAUCGAGAGUGUAGAUCUUGUUCUAAAUAGUUUAAAAAAUUUUCUAACCAAAAUUCAAUUGAUUUGGAUAGCUUUACACCGUUAAACCAGAAAAUGCCUUAUAUCUACCAUUAAAAUUAUAAAUUUUGAAACCCUUUGAUCAUUAGGUUAAUGAUGUCGAAAAGAUUUGAAAUUUGGUUUCUAGAUAGUUCAAGUGGUAUAGAUCAUGUUCAACGGUGCCGAUCGUCGAUUUGAAGGCUCCAUCAUCGAAAACAAAUGGGUGGCAACGAAGCCCGUUUGCUACCAAUAGCAUUCCAGCUUAACUCGAUAAAUAGAUAUAUAAAUAAAUAUAUUAAUAUAAAUAUCAUUUUUAUGAUAAUAUAUUUAUACUUAAAUUUUAUUAUAUAAUAUAAAUUAAUUAAAUUUGAUAUAUUAUUUAUUUUAUUAAGUUUUAUUAUUUAUAUAUUAAUAUUUAAUUAUUUUAUUUUAUAUUAAGUAUUAUAUAUAUAUAUAAUUUUCAUGCAUUAAAUAUAUAAAUAAUUAUUUUAUUUUAUAUUAAGUAUUAUAUAUAUAUAAUUUUCAUGCAUUAUAUAUAUAUUUUAAUUUGUAUUGAAAUUUAUACUAUUAUUAAUUAAAAUUUUAAGAAUAUCUUUACAUAUAUUAUGAAUAAAUUAUAUAAAAUAAAUUAUUAGUAUAUAUAGUAAAAUAAAUAUACUAUUUUAAAUUUAAUUGUUACAUAAAAUAUUAUAUUAUAAAUUACUAUAAGAAAUAAUUUUAUAAAUAAUUUUAUAUAAAAUAUACUAAUAUAAGUUAGUUAUUUUAUUUUUAAAAAUAUAUUUAGAUAUUGUUCUACACUUUUUAUCUAUACGCUACUAAAGAUAUCCUCUAGAAUAUCUCCGAAUGCAUCCAAACAUAAAUUCACAAUUGUUCUAUCUGUACUGGAAUAUCCACUGUUCUCGAGAACAAUAAAAGUUGUUCUCCAAAAUUUAGUUCUUCAACCAAACGCAACCCUACUGAAGGAGAAGAAGAUUGUCUUCCUAAUGAAUAAGAUUGUAAUCAUUUGCCUAAGAUAUCCUUUUGACAUCCAUUUACAAAUUGUUUAGAUUGUUAAUGGAUUAUAGAUUUUCAAGUUUUAUAUCUUUUUGGUUUGCUAAAUCGUAAUAUUUUAAAAUUAAUCUUAAUAAGUAAUGUUAGUAAAUAUGUAUAGGCUUGCAAUACAAAAAAAAAGAAGGAAUAGUUGUCUUUUUUUCAAAAUAAUAUGUAUUUUUUAUAAGGAACAUAAACAUAUUAUGUAAGUUUUUAUGAAACCCGCUAUAGGUUCAUAGCGCCCGCUAGUCACUUUCCGCUAUGAGGCCCUCCAAAUGCUAUGUACCUGCUAUCCGCUAUUUACAACCUUGGCAUAUAGUGUAUCAUGCUUUUGUUCAAGCAAUGAUAAAUAAUUGAUGACAGUUAUCUAAAUUUUUCCAAUUUGAAAUUUCACAGAGUCUGACCUUUUCCUUCGACAAGACAGGUUUCUCUUUUUCAUUUUUGGAGCUCAUAGAGGGAAGACAGAAUCCGGAGGGAAAGGAAUAAGAAAUGUGAGAAAGUAGGGGGUUAGCAUACAAAGAAAAAUUUGGAGAAAACCUUUUUAAGGUUUGAAAACUGACUUAUGAAGUGCAUCUAACAGCUCUAAGAACCUGCUCAAAGUACUGUAUCAGCUAGAACAGAACAUAUAGUGCAUAGAACGGUUUGGAAAUGCCAUAUAAAUCGGGAGCUCUAUCAUUUGAAGUCUCAUCAGUGUAGAAGUAAAUUGACCGUAAUUCAUUCACCUCAAUCAAAAUAAAAAUUGUUGUCUUGAUAAAAAUGUAUCUCAGUUUAGAAUCAGAUGACUCCUAUUUCAAAUUAAAUCCAAACACCGUGAAUUAUAGGGCGUUCCCGAAAAGUAAUGAAAUUGUAGGUUUCUGCACCACUUUGUGACAUUAAGCAUGGUAAACUUCCUAUGCCCAAUAACAGGGGGCCAAAAUUCCCUGUAGUCCCUUUUUUCUUCUCAAGGAAAAAAGAGCACUUUUGAAACUUGAGAGUAGUUUGGCAAUAAUUGAUUAAUUUACAGCAUGGCCAUCAGUUGCAAUGAAACCAAGUAUUUUGAGUAAAACCCAUCAAAUCAGUGAUAAAUAAGGGAUAGAGCUUCUUGAUUAUCCUUUAUGUUCUUCUUUCAUUCAUUUGCAUUAAAUUUCCAAUGAAAUUGACAUUAAUUUGUAGAAUUUUGUUUUCUCAAACUUUGAUCUUGUAAUUAUGAAAUCUAGUAUGCCAUUUUCAAUAAAAUUUUGUUGACAUUAGAAGCAGUACAUCUGUGGGGUAAGAAAGGCUUUUAAGUACUUAUUUGUGAACAUUUAGAACAAAUUUUGAAGAUGAGAAAGCUUAGAAAGCAUGUGCCCUUUGCUGAGAUGUAUUGGGUAGGGAGCAACGCCACAGCGGUAUAAUUUGCUUGAAACCCUCUUAUAUUGUAAGUUAUUAAGAAGAAAUAUUUACUAUUAUUUAACUCUUUAUCAUAUUAAUCAUUCAUUUAAAAUGAUAGAAUUUGAUGACAUGGACAGUUAAUUUGGGGAACUUUUGAUUCUUCUAUGUGUAACCAUUGUUUUCUUUACAUCCAAAAAAACUUAUGAAAAUUUCAUGAAAUUAGUGAUGAAUAAUCUUGUAAUAUUACUUAUACCCAUUAUAAUCAUUAUUCAAGUCAUUUGUACCAAAAAUACAAUGAAUUGAGAGAUUUGCUCCAAUUUGUUUUUCCUCCGGUGUUAGUUCUUAAUCUAAUAAAAAUCCUAUUAUACUUUCGAGAUUUUUCUUGAUAGUUCUAGUAAUUCAAUCAAUAGAGCACAAACUUGUUGGUUCCUUCUGUAGCCACUUUCUUUUAUCCUUUCUUAGUUUUAUUAGUUCCAUUUGCUUGAACCCUUUUUUCAUUUGGAAACGUUCCAUCAUUACAUCGACAUUUAAUGGCUAGAAAUCUCAACUGUUAUAUUAUGCAUUCUGCUUUUGCAUUCCUUUUACUGAAGCUGUGUUGUAUAUGAGAAGUUCUUCAAUUUUUAGUUACAUAUACAGUUAGUUGAUGAAUUCUGACAGAAAGUUAUUUAAUCUUAUGAUAAUCUUCUAAGCAUUUUAUUAUUCUAGCAAUCUUCUUCUGUUAGUCUUUGUGAAUGAAGUGAAUGAACUUUUAGACUUAUUGUUCUUAUUGGUUAUAUAUCUAUUCAUAGGUUCCUUCAUUAUGAAUUAUAAUAAGUAAUUUAUUUUAUAUCAUUAAAAUAAAAACAAAGUUUAUUAUUAUUAUUAUUAUUAUUAUUAUUAUUUUGUUGUGUAAUGUUGAUAGUUUUAUUGUAAAAUAUUUAUCUGAUGCAUGCAGGUCUGGCUGCUGGCUCUUGUUGUCUUACCAGCUAGGUCACACAUUUUCAUGCGGUUUGGUUUAGUCUUAUACCUCUCUCUGUUGUCAGUAUGGAUUCUUCCAACUCAUAUUUGGACAGUAAGUUGAAGUAAAUUCUAUUUGUAGUUUCUAAGAUUCCUCAUGGCUAAUGUUAAACAAAGUUUGGAGUUAUAAAUUUGAAACGAUAAGUUGAACUGGCUUUGUUCGUUAACUAGAGAAAAAUGUUUUAAAGAUGUGCAAAUUUUGCUCUUUACAUGUGAUAAUAUCUUUAAUUAUUAAAAAUGAAGAGAAGGGGUCUGUUAAUGGAUACAAUUUUCAGCUUCUUUUUUCUUUCAAUCGAAAGUUUGAGGUAAGUAUAAUUUUAUCCAUGCCUUAAAUAGAAGAGAAGAAUGCAUUGGUCAACCCUCUCUUUCUUACCAUAAGAUGAGGAGGUCAUUAGUGCCAUUAAUGUAGGAGCCAGAAAGAAGUAGCUGGAUCGUUAAGAAAAUUUGGGACAUUGAAGGUUGUUGGUGUUAUUGUUGUCCUGUUUGAACCUUUCUCACUCUCUUUUUUGACCUCUCCCUCUCUCUGCCACUUUUUUUACUGAAGUUGCAAAGAGCAAACUUUGUCAAAUUGAGGUUGCUGCAUUGCCACAUAGGUUAAUUUUUCUCUCUGAGUUGUGAUGGCAUCAUGGUUCGGCCAUCACCAAUGGGGAUCUUCCCUCUUCCAAGAGAUGUAAUGCCUUUCCUCUCCUUGUAGGGAAAGAAGAAUUCAUUAGUUUACAUAAAUUUCUCUAUUUAAGUUUCUUUUCUCUAUCAAAUUUUUUAUAUAUAAGCUUUCGGGGUGGCGAUCAUUCUUUUAUCAAAAAACACCCUUUGUGGAGUCUUAGGUCAUUAUAGCUCUAAGUAUGGAAAGGAGGAUCAACCAUAAGAGAUAGGCCAGUUGAUCAAAUUGUGGACUGAAUAGAUUAGUUGACCUCUUAGGUCCCUGAAAGUAGAAUGACACAAGGUAAAAUCAGAUUACGUUUACUUUUUCCAUUUCCAGUAGUUUGGGUGAUUGUUCUCAUCUUAUAAGGGUGGUUGAACAUUGUCACGGUUUGUUUAAAUUGCUUUGAAUUUGAUUUCUUGAGUGUUUUUUGUUCUGAUGUUGUUGUGCGAAUUAUAGUUAGAACGAGUAUUUUAAUCUUCACAGGAUCUUUUUAUGGUUUUGAAAGGAAAUCCCUCAAUGUUUUAAAGUCUUUGAUUGUUAUGUUUAAAACUUGAAAGUGCGAGCUUAAUUUUUGGAACUGAUUUGGACUUUGUCAUUCACUGUUUUAGGUAAGGUUUUCUUCCUUCUGUUAAAUAAUGUUGAUUUUCUUCCAUGAUUUAUUUAUCUUCUUCUAAAAAUGAUAGAAUAUGAGAAAUCACAUGAUACAGUGGUAUCAUCCAGCAAGCGUAUUGCUUAUGGCUUGUCUGGUGGCUUGAUAUAAAAAGACUUAAAGAGAAAUGCCCUAUAUCGAGUUAACUUUGUGGUACAUGGAAGUUGUCUAGCUGGUUUAAGAACUUAUGCGAGAUGCAUAUGCUUUUGCUAUAUCAUGAUUUUUGGUGACCAAAAUCCUAGUUCUUAGGUUUUUGAGCUUUGCUAAUUGUGUCACAACCCAAUUUUCGAUAUGGAAUAAGAAAUAUUGUUCUAGUCAGACAGCUAACUUGUUUUCUGCUUGUAUUUCUUUGUCAUCCGGUAGAUCUAUUAUUUCUUAUUCUGCAUAUUAGCAUUGAAUCCUUUAGAUCAUCAACUAAACGUGUCAAUAAUAAGGUAAGUUACAUUUUACUUGUAGGAUCAAUUAGGCAGGGUUGCUCUGCUUUCUGGGAUCUUAUUCAUCAUGCUGGGAUUUGGUUCUGAUGGUGUACCUCCACUUGUCCAGUUGAGAACGCCGCCCUCAUCGAUUACAGGAUUGCCAAAUCUUCCUUCAUCCUUGGGAGGUUACUCUUACACAAUCAUGAAGCUAGGACCAUUGCAGUUUACAAGGAAAGGCUUGUCUGUGGCUAGUACUUCAGCCUGCCUAUCGUUCACUGUAUGUUCGCUUCACCUUUCAAUUUUUAUUAUUUGCUAUAAGACUUUUCUUUUGCAUUUGUUUUUUCUUCUCUAUGUCAUGUUUUGUUACCUAAAUUCAGAAAUGAGUAGCUUCAUUAGUCCUUAUUCCUUAACCAAAGAAGGUUGCUACCUUAUGUAUGAUAGUUUUUGUAGUGAUUGUAUUCCCAGAGAGAAUUCUUUACAUCCUCAAACACUACUGUUAGGUCAUCAUGAAUCAGCAUCUUAUUUCUGAUAUCCUAUGACCUACAUCUCACCACUAUUUUAUAAAGUUCUAGCCACAAUUUUAUACACGAUAACUCUUCUAUUACUGCUGCAACCUUAUUUGAAACUAACCUAUUCUAUUCAUAAACUACUUUAAACGUUGAUGAUGCGGAUAUAUUAACCGUUCGAGCCUUGUUCCAUAAUGAUUUUGCUUGCUUUUGACAUAGCUUCACUCCUUAACAAGCAGAUUCCUGAAAAUUUUAUUUUCUCUUUAAAUAUUUCUUUUUCCUGAUGCUAGCUGCUUAUUGGAACUACCAAGUGAUAGUUCUACUAAUUGCGUGCUAUGAUAAAAUUUCCUAUCUCUUAUAUGGAUGCUGAGAUUUUUCUGCACUCUCCCUCCCUCCACACCCUCCCCCCCCUUCCCCUCCUUGCAGAUCUUCCAAAGUGCGAGUCUAUGCUUGACAACAACAACGCCCGAGCAGCUUGCUUCUGCAUUAUGGUGGUUUAUGGUUCCUUUGAGGCAUAUUGGUGUUCCAGUGGCUGAGAUAAUACUUACUUUGCUACUUUCUUUGAGGUUCAUCAAUUUAGUGUUUGAUGAGGUAAGUUGUAGGCAAGGUUCUAAGUGUUGUGGCAUAGGGAUCGUCCUGAGAACUAGCUGGCAUGGUACAACACGGAGCUUGCCGUGCUGUGCCAAUGUGUGCAGAUUAAAAAAAAUACCGAUGUGUGUCAAUGUGUAGACACUAUCACAUAAAAUAUUUAUUUUCUUUGCAACUAGUAUAUUCUAAUUGUUUAUUAUAUAUCUUUAUCAUAUCUUUUGCACUUUAUUUAGAUAACUCCUUGCUAAUUUGUAAAAAAAAAGAAGAGAAUGUUGAGCUGUGCUUAUGGCAUAGGGUUGUAUCAUGUCGAUGUUUUGUCGGCGCGGUAGGACACAAUUGGCAUGGCCAGUGCUGAUGGGCACUUAAAACCUUGGUUUUACACUAUAGCUAUAUUUGCUAAGAGUAUUCUUGGCCAAUUUUCUAUUAGAUCAAUCUUUUGGGUAACAUGGUGUUUGAGCCAAUCCUAAGCUCUCUCUACUCUGUGAGGUUCUUGAGUUCGAUUCCUACAUUUGCCAUUUUUUGAAAAAUAUUUUUGCCAAUUAUUCCUUUGUCUCUUAUGUUACCUUUUUUGUUAGUGCGCGUGGUAUGGUUCAUUUGACAUUCAAACAUACAAGUGAGCAGGGUUGUUAAGAGGAUUUUUUUACAAAAUAAUCCUCUAAAAUUUGAUAAUUUGCAAAACAACCCUAUCCAAAUUAUAUUUGGAAAACUAACCUUCCUUUUGCCAUGUAAGCGCCAGGGUGGAGAUUUUCUUUGAAGACGGUGAAUCAUUCACCGCCUUUAGUAAGGCGGUGAAUCAUUCACUGCCUUCUUAAUUUCCCACAAAGGCGGUGAAUCAUUCACCACCUUUUACUGUUUUUUUUUAUAUCCUAUAUAUAAUCCUAACAACCAUAUAAAAAUUUUAACAAAUUACAUAUAAUCUUAACAACUUGAAAAUCCUAAUAAUUUAUCCAUACAAUCAUAUAAUCUUAACAGUUUGAAAAUCCUAAUAGUCUAUCCGUACAAUUUCAUAUAAUCUUAACAGCCUGAAAAUCCUAAUAAUCUAUCCAGACAAUCCUAACAAUCAAAUAAAAAUUCUAAUAAUCCACAUAUAAUCCUAACAAUCUCACAUUUUCUAUUUCCUAUAUAAUCCACUCACAAUUUUAAAGAAUGCGACAAACGAUUCACCGCCUUUAAAAGAAAUAGGAGAAAGCGGUGAACGAUUCACCGUCUUUAAAAGAAAUUGGAGAAUGCGGGGAACGCUUCACUGCCUUUAAAAGACAUGGAGAACGUGGUGAACGUUUCGCCGCUUUUUGAAAAAUCUCCCACGUGGCUCCUACGUGGCAAAAAGAGGGUUAGUUUGCCAAAUAUAAAUUUGGCAGGGUUAUUUUGCAAAUUAUAAAAUUUUAGAGGGUUAUUUUAUAAAAAAGUCCUUGUUAAGACUAUUCCUGGAACCAUCUCAGAAGGAUUUAAGUGCCAUGGCCUGGGCUCAUGUUGAGAACUUGUUGGUAUGGUGUGGCACGGUGUGUGCCAUGCCGUAGUGAUGUGAGCCAGCCAUAAAAAAUACCUAGGUGCUAAUGACGUGAAAUAUUUAUUUUUCUUUAGUAGUAAUAUAUUCAAAUGUUUAUUAUAUAUCAUUAUCAAUUUUUUUGCACUUUAUUGAGAUAACUGCUUGCUAAUUUCAAAGAAAAAAGGGCUUCGAGCCGUGCCAUCAGCAUAAGGGUUAUAUUGUGCCAAUAUCUUGUCAGCAUAGUACAACACAUAGGUACGGCUUGUGUUGUUGGGCACUUAAAUCCUUGCCAUAUCCUAUUACAUUGAUUUUUUUGGUAACAUAAUUAGCAAAUGGACGUAGUUUUUGUCAUCCAUGCUUUAUCUGUUAGGUAAAUAUUAGUUGCUUAUUUACAAAGGUAUAACAUGUCAUUAAUGCUCUACUUCUUGUGAAAACUUUUGAUAGGUUAGAAAUACAGCGCUGGGAAUUGUAGCACGUCGGAUACACUGGCAUCAAUUGACAACUAUAGAAACAUUAGAUGGUAAGUGAUUAAGUGCGCUUUUUUUUAUUUGUAGCUAUUGAUUAAUUUUGUUUGUGAGGUUAGUCUUGACUAGUUGAAAUUUGUUUCAAUUUUGCCUCAAAGAUUUUGCAUCAAAGAUUUUGCUUCUAUAUACAUAUUUGAUUUGAUGCCUUGGUGAUUGGUCUAUUUUGAUUUAGCAGCAAGAGAGAUUGAAAUUUGCCCCGGACCAACAAAUCCGAUGAUUAUUGCAAACAAGAUGCUUGUGUAUUGUCUAAAAUUUUUUAUCAAACUCAUCUACUCAUGUAGAUUGAUCUCUUUCCGUCAUUCAAUUUCGUGUGGCAAUUGGCAAAUUUUAUUUUUUGAUGUUUUAUUUCUUCAUAUUUAAGGCCCUAUUAGUAUAGCUAGUUAAAAAACUCUAUGAAGUUUAUUUUCUAUGGUUUUAACUUAGAUUAAAUUCAGGCUUAUAGGAAUUCCAUACUCUAUUCUAUUUAUGUUUGAAUGCCAAUUGCAAAAUUUCGUAAAAAUUCUGUCAAAUUUGAUAAAAUUUCUAAUAAAAAUAAUAAAUUUGUCAAACAAAUAGAGAUCAAAAUUGCUAACUAAACUAAAUCAGAUUGAACGACAUUUAGACUCUAUUUUGUUUCUACUUAAAACAUUACUAAUCAAAAUUACUAUCUUAAAAAUAACAAAUGGAGAUCAAAUUAUUAAUCAAAUCAAAUUAAAUAUAUACUCUAUUUUAUUUGUAAAAAAUAACAAAUAAAAAUCAAAAUAAACAAUUAAUAAUCAAAACUAAUAAAAAUUUAACUUUAUUAGUUUAGUUAAUAAUUUUGAUCUAGUUCAAGGAAGGGGCGAAGGUGGUGGCAUGGUAGAGUAGGGUAGCAGAGGAGGAGGAAGCGGCGGCGCAGCGGAGCGGGGGCGACAGAGGAGGAGCAGGAGGGGCGGCGGUGCCGCGGUAGAGGGGGAUGGCGGAAGAGGAGUUGGUGACAGCGGAGACGACAAUGUUGUUUAGACGGCGGUGGUGACAAUGACGGAGGGGGUAGAGGCGGUAGAGUGGCGGAGGGGGCGACGGAGGAGGAGGGGAUGGUGGCGGCGUGGGUGGCAGAGGAGGAGGGGCAACGACAGAGGAAGAAUGAAGAUGGAGAAAAUGAUUUUUUUGGUUUUGCGAAUAAAAGAGAGAGAGGGCCUCGAUCUCAGAGACUACCAUUUAUUUUUCUCUUAAUUGGAGUGGAGUGGUACUGUGGUAAAGAACUACAUUUUUUAUUGUAUAGUUUAACUACACCAUGAUUUAUGGACCUGCUUUGAGCCUAUCCAAACAGUCAUAUAGUAAAAAGAAACCUAUCGGUGUAGUUAGACUAUAUCCCAUUUUAGAGCCCAUCCAAAUGGGUCCAAGUUUCUUUCUUAUGUAUUUGGAGGCUUAGUUUAUAACUCAAUCUGCAAAUGCAUUUAAAAGUUUUGAUCUACAUUACACGGACAUAGCUCCAAAGCAGUUGCGUCUGCUUGCGACUCGUGUCGGACUCGGGAAGCAUAGCGUACAUGAGACGACAUGUGUCCGCUGUGCGUCUGGGGUAAAAAAUGAAUGCGGAGACGACUCAUGUGCAUCGCACAAGUCCUCUUUGUUAGGAAGAGUUUCCAAGCUUUUAGUAAUAGGAAAUAGUUUUGCCUGCACCCGAUGUAUCCUUAUCUAUAAUAUACCAUAGUUAAUUUGGUUAAUGCUUUAAUUUUAAAAUCUAAGUUAACCUAUCUGAUCUAUAAUAUUUAAGAUAUAUGUAUAAAAAAGUAAUUUUGGAAAUCUAAUAUUUAGAUGUUAAGUAGUUCCAAGAAUUAGCAGUGUUAAAAGCACCAUUAUUUAAUUUAUAAAAAAAUACUAUCCAAAAAUUCAUAAUUUUUUAUAUCUUUCUUUUAAUGUCAUAUAAUGCAUCUAAUAAAUUAGAUUCGGAAUAUUGUUGUGCUGUGUGUGGUGAAUGAGAUAUACUUAUGAACUUGGUAGAGAUAGUAUAUUUUCAAUUCAUGCACCAACUUGCAGUGCAUAUAAUUAGAAUUUUGUACAUAAUAUAUAUAAAAUAUUAUACUUAAAAAUAAUAUUUUAUUGUUGGUCUUGCCAUGUCUGUAUCCUAAUUUUUUUGAAGUUGCUAAGUCGCCGUGUCCGAGUUGUGUUGUGUGCUGUGUCUGUGUCCGUGUCCGUGUCCGUGUAACAUAGGUUUUGAUUGAGCAACACUAAUCACAUGUUGCAGUAUAGCAUUUUGAAUGUUUUUCCCCUUACUAUAAAACAGUUUCAUUGAUUUUCAAGAAUGACCUGUGAUGACCAUUAAACAAUUCAACCUAUUUUCUAAGUUAAUGUGCUUAAUUUUCACUAUGCAAUUGCAAACUGGGAAUAUUUUUGGCAACAGAGAGGCCAGCCAAAAAGAAUACUGCCACCAAAUGUUGUAUUUAGGACCUAGAAUCAUCACUUUCAAAUUCAAUUGAACCACUUUCAUGAUAACAUUGCGUCCUUAUGUCUGUAUAAUGAAUGUACACCAUACUAUUUGUAUCAUACAGAUGAUAACCAGACCUUGAUUUUUCUGAAGUUCAUAUGUUAUCUGCAUCAUCACUAAUAUGCUGAAUUCCUCACUUUUAGUUUGUUGUUUGGAUUUAUACUUAGGAUUAAGAGUUUAUAUCUGCGUGAGCUAGAAAAAUUUGACUUAAAAUUAUGAUGACUCUGCAGUUUUCUUUUUGUAUGUUCGACGCAUAUUCAAAAAUAUCUUUGAUCACGCGGUGCAAAUUUCCAAGGUUAGUUCUCUUUGAAAUUUAUUAUUUAAUGAUAUCAUUAUUGCUAUGUCAAUGUGAUAAGCACUUGCAAAUCAUUCUUUACUAGUUAAGGGGCCCCGCGCGAUGCGGCGGGAAGAUAGUACAAUAGUAAAUUAUUAUAACAAUUAAUAUUAUUUUUUUUUUCUAUUAUGCAUUAAUUUAAAAAUAUUUAAACCUAAUAAGUAAAAUAAAUAAAUCAGUUUAAAAUAAAACAAAAGGCUCAUUACAGUAUUAAGAAAGAUAAAUAAUAUUUUUCUAUUAUCAUCAAAGAUAGAAUUUACAAAAAAGAAAAAAACUAAGUGGAGUGAAAGUACUAUCUUUGGUAUUCUUGGCAGCAACGUUUUCAACGUUUUCAUUGUGCCCUCAUUAACUUUUAUCGUUAUACAUACAACUAAUAAAGUAUUUGAUUCCUAAAUUUUAAAUUAGUGAAGAAAUCAGUACGUAAUUAUCAGAAGCACAAAAAAUAAGACUAAUCAAAAGGCAUUCGAAAUCAAAAUAGAUAUUUUUUACACUGUAAAAAAAUUCAACUACCAAAUAUUAUAUUAUUAUAUAAAUUAAUCCUCAAAAAAUUGUUUGAAACCUAAAAUGAAAAAUUUGGAAAGUUUAGGGAUUGGGGACCAAAAUAAAAAAGCGUGAAAAGAGUGAGGCCCAAUGUGCAAUUAAUCUUUUAAGGCAUUUGAAAUCAAAAUAGAUAUUUUUUACACUAUAAAAAAAUUCAACUACCAAAUAUUAUAUUAUUAUAUAAAUUAAUCCUCAAAAAAUUGUUUGAAACCUAAAAUGAAAAAUUUGCAAAGUUUAGGGAUUGGGGACCAAAAUAAAAAAGCGUGAAAAGAUUGAGGCCUAAUGUGCAAUUAAUCUUUUAAAAAAAUGUGGGCCCCACAACCUCCAAAAUAAGAGGACUUUUUUUGUUCUAAAUUUGUAUAUUUAUAAAUUAUAAAUAAAUAAAUAAAUAAAAAUAAAGUGAAAAAAUAAAAAAAAAUGUAAAGUGUGUGAGAGAGAGUGUGAGAGAGAAAAAAAAAAAGUGGACCCCACUGGCCCCUCCAAACCCGGGGAGGCCUGUAUUUGGUUCCCAAUUAAUAAGUUAUAUAAAUAUCCUCGAAUAUGUUUCAUUUCAUAUUUCCAUAUUCAGCUAUUCCAGUCAAUUUGUAUGGGCACUUUUGUAUUUUAAAUAGAAAAUGUAGUAAAACUUUUUGCUUGGUUUGUUAGAUGUAUUAGGACAAAUUGUGAGUAUCACAUAAAAAAACCCAUGAUAUAGGACAAGCUGAAUACCUCUCUUUGUACAGAACUAGUAAGCUUGCUGAUGUUAGUAACAUAACUGGAUUAACUAGAUGGGUCUUUAACCAUGUGGCCUAAAAUAAUUAAGUCCAAAUUAUAGCACCAGUAGACUAUUUCUUACAUGAGAACUUCUCAACAUGUUCUGAUUUCUCUGAUUUUAAAUCCUAAUGUCCUCGUGAAUCACACUUAAGCAAGUCUAAGUCUUCCCUUGGUAUAUAUCUACGCCUUACAUUAAACCGGUUACAUUCUCAUCGCCCUACUCUCUUCACUAGGAUCAAGAUCGUUAAAUUAAUGUUAAACGACUGUUGUUCUCUAAAAGCUUAAGCGACCAUAGAACGGUGUCUAUAUAUUUGCUAUUCAACACUUUGCCUCACGUUUGAGCUUGAGAUUUUUUUAUAGGCCCAUGACGUGGAAUAACUAAAUAGGACGAAAUCAAAUAAAGUUAGUAACAAGGAUUUAAGUGCCAUGACACGGGAUCGUGCCGGAAACAUGCCGGCACAGUAUGGCACGGUGCGUGCCGAGCCGUGUCAAUGCAUGCGGGUCACAAAAAAUACAUAUGUGCUGACACAUAAUGGUAUGAAAUAUUUUUUUUCUUUAGUAACAAAAUAUUCUAACUGUUUAUUAUGUAUUUUUAUCAAAUCUUUUCAACUUUAUUAAGAAAAUUACUUUCUAAUUUAAAGAAUAGAGGGUUUUGAGCUGUGCCACGGCACAGGGGCUGAAUCGUGUUGAAAUCUUGUUGGCACGAAACAAUACUGUAUAUACGGCUCAUGCCGAUGGGCACUUAAAUCUUUGGCUAGUAGCCUACUGGGACUCGAAUUUAGGAACUCUUGCUCUGAUACCAUAUUAAAUUAAUAUAAAACAACCGUUGUUCUUUAAAAGUUUCAUCUACUAGAGAGCUGCAUUUUUAAUAUUUUAUUGGGUUAAUUGCAUACAGUUCCUUGUAAACAUAUUGAAUAGUAGAUAUAUCCCUACAAAGUUCAACUUUUUAUUUUCAUUCCUGCAAAAGUCCUAACGUUUUCAAAUAUACCACUGUCGUUAGGAUCCGUUAGAAAUAUGUAGUUAACCACGAGUAAAAUACUUAACCCUGGUUAGUGAAUGAGUUAAAUUGGUCUUUUUACUCCUGUUAUAUUACCGAGUAAAAUUCUUUUUCGGGAGGACAUAUCUGCAUAAUUCUAACAGUUGGGGAUUUUGGAAGGAUAUAUUUGUAAGGGCAAAAAUACCAUUUUACUUAUUUGCUGUUAAAAAAUAAACAAUGCUCUAACGGUAAUAAACCAGAUGGGCAAAUAUGAAUAUCACUGGAUUUUUGCAGGGAUAAAAAUAAAAAGUUGAACUUUGUACGGAUAAAGUUGAUAUUCGAUAUGUUUACAGGGAGCUGUAUGCAAUUAACCCUAUUUUAUAUACAACAAAAAUGACGUGCAAUAUGUGAAUUAAGGUGGUCCUAUGAACAUUAACCUAAUGAACAUAUGCAUGUUAAGGUGGUCCUACGAAGGUUAACCUGAGUCUAGCAAUGCCCACCGGUUAAUCGAAACCAAAAACGAAAAAAAGAAGCCAGACUUUGGCUAUAGAUAGGAAUCAGUAGAUACUAGUAGUGCCGAAGCCAGAAUUUUUUUUCAAGCAGGAGCAAAAAUAUAUGAUUAAGAAAUUCAAUCAAUGAAUUAAUCUUAUUCAAUAUAAAAAUUAUGACUUAAAGUAAAAAAUUUGUUUUCAUAUCAUAUAAAUCAUAUUGAUAUGUAUAGUCUCUGAAACAUGAAAAUGCACAAUUUUUCAUGGAUAAGAAAUAAGAACUCAGGAGCUGUUUGGUGAGAAAUUUUCAAGCAUGGUUAGAGUAAAUGAAUUGAUGAAUAUUGUUGGCAUAUCUAAUUCAUUUACUCAAGCAUUCAGUAAUUCAGUGACGAGAUGCAUCAAAGCCUAUAUCAAUGGUCCUAAUCAUUAUUUUACCAGAAUAUGAUAUAUCGUUUUAGAACUGGAUGUUGGGAUAAAAGAAAUUUAAAUUUCAAAUUGAAAAUAUAGAAGGCAAUAAAAUAAGUGGGGAAUGAUUAUGCUUGCCUUAGAUGACCAACCAUUAAAAGGAAAAGAAAUAAAAUUAUAUUGUUACCUUAUUUUCAAAUUCUUUUGAAUUAUUUCCCUAAAUGAAGAGGGCCUAGAAUCACUAUAGAUUGGACUAUGGGAUUCAAAAAUGGAUCUUUUUUGAAAGGGGAGAAGAAAAAGAGAAAAAAGAAGAAAGAGCUUAGGCCCUUUCAUGCGACGACGGCGAUGACGACGACGAUGACUUCGGCGACGACGAUGACGACGACGACUUCGGCGACGACGACGACUUCAACUACACGCGAGGAGGCCAUAUAACCUCUUUUUCCUUUUCUUUUCUACGAUGACGACGGGUUGGUGUAUAUGCGCAAAUCGUGUAGUUGCGAUUUUCCUGUCAGUUUGAUCAACACGACUGUCUUUGUGAUGGGUCGACCCGAUCAAAUUUGGCGGUGAAUCGUUACUACAUCAUGCACGCGUAUUCAUUAAGNACCUAUAAAAAAAGGUGAGAUUAAUGGUGGAUGGUGGCUAUGGAUCGAUAUCCCCACAUUAGGGUUCCCGCUCUGAUACCAUGAAAGAAGGGCUAAAGUGCAUACCCUCUUGAGUUGUAUUAAUGAAUAUAUAUAGUACAAGAGAUUGUCUUACUAUAGUAACAAUGACUACUAUAGUAAGAGUAUAACUAGGAUUACAUACUAUAUAAUUCUCCUCUAUAGAAGGCAAUGAUACUACUCUAUAUAAGGCAAUAAAACACAAUAUCCUAAUAUAUCGUAACAUCCUAAUAUAGAUAAAAUAUAUCGUAACAGUCUCCCUCAACAUUGCCUUCGCUAUGAUGACAACAAAAGGACAAUAUGUGUGCACAAGCGAUGGUGGCGAUCCAUGUGUUGGGUUGAUCGAGCGGCCGUCUUCGCAAUAGGCUCGACACUUUCAAUACUGACAUUGGAUCGUUAUC
rnacentral:lncRNA from 1 species